UUUUUUUUCGUAUAUACUGUGUGCUGUAGUAGGAACGCCGUCUUUUCCGGUGCCUUUCCUCAAAAGAACACUCGCUAUUCAUCCACGGUAACUGGUAUAAAUUCCCAAUCUUGCAUUAUUUCCCAUUCCCGCGACCAGAUUGCACUAGUUGUCGACUUGCCGAUCGAUUGCCCGGCCAGCAGCACUACUCUUCGAGUACUUUACGACAGGCAGACACAAAGGUGGAAGGACACAAAGAAACAGAUCUCUCGGUUAGGCCUCCGCUCUCACAGACAAGACAGACUGCACAACAUGAUGCGUUAUAUUCCCUUUCGUGAGCUCGUCGUCCGGCGGAAAAACUUCGUGUUCUGACCCUCUUUAGAUACAAAUUCAGGAUCUGACCCCGGUUCUGAAAAAUUUCGAGAUCUGACCCUUUCGCUACUGCCAUGGGCUCUAGCGGUAUGGUUAGACAUGCUACCGCCAGGGUCCAUGGCGGUAGGGUGCGACGGAGGACGACGGGGGGCAACGGCCGCCGUUUGCUCAAGCUGACGUGGACAAGUAUCCUACUGCCAUGGUCCCCGGCGCUAGCAUGUUAGACCUUACCGCCAGACCCCUUGGCGGUAAGGUGUGGCUGGGUUUUGCCUCCCAAGUUUCUGUAACGAAAUAUCGAGGUGCCCUGGCGGUAGGUACGUUCGUCCUACCGACAGGGUCCUUGACGGUAGGGUCCUGUGUUCUAUGGUUUAUAAGUUUUUUUUUGUUUAUUUUCAAAAAACAAUAUAGACCCUAAAAUAUGAGCUCACAUUUUUUAGUGAUUGUUUCUUUUGUAAAAUAUGAGCUCACAAAGAAAGCCAACAAACGGUUUCACAUAGUUUGUUUUGUUACAAGUUUCACAUCACAAAAUAGCAAAAUAUGAGCUCACAUAAUGAUGAUGGUUCCACAUAGCAAUUAUCAAACAGUUUACAGAUAAUAGAUUCAUAAGUAGGGAAUAGCAAAUAGCAAACUUGCCCACAUAGUUUGACAACCCCUACAAAAACAGAGAUAUAUAUUCAAUCGACAUGUUUAUGGGGCGGACAAAUCUCCCCCCNNNNNNNNNNNNNNNNNNNNNNNNNNNNNNNNNNNNNNNNNNNNNNNNNNNNNNNNNNNNNNNNNNNNNNNNNNNNNNNNNNNNNNNNNNNNNNNNNNNNNNNNNNNNNNNNNNNNNNNNNNNNNNNNNNNNNNNNNNNNNNNNNNNNNNNNNNNNNNNNNNNNNNNNNNNNNNNNNNNNNNNNNNNNNNNNNNNNNNNNNNNNNNNNNNNNNNNNNNNNNNNNNNNNNNNNNNNNNNNNNNNNNNNNNNNNNNNNNNNNNNNNNNNNNNNNNNNNNNNNNNNNNNNNNNNNCGAAACGCUGGUCGGCAUCCGACCGUUUAAGCAGUCCCACCUUGGCUUGCUCGCUGGAGUUUUUGCCUCAGCCCUUGCCUAGUCGAUGAUAUCAAACGCCGAUGCACUUGGGGGCGGCAUCCUGGCUCUCUCCUCCUCAUUGCUCUCGAAGUAGAUCCUCCGGCCCAAAUUGCGCAGCUCCCGGUUGGAACGCUGCUUUGCAGCUUCAAUGUCCCAUUCCCGGCGUUCUCGGGAGAUAGUUGGAUCUCCCUCCAUCUCUGCAAUCACUUUCUUCCACUCCUUCGCACUCUCUGCCCAACACUUCUGAUCAUCGUAGAUCCGUUCCGCCCUCUCGUGCCACCGCACUGCCCCUCGUCUCCUGUAGGAACUCGUCUGAAAAAGCGGUCACCGGCAGCAGAAGCUCGGGGCAGGCCUCGUACACGUACGGAAGUGGCAAGCCGGACGGGUCGUGUUGGAGAUGAAGGGGCGAUGGUUGCGCCACUGUUGCAGACCUAAACAUAUGUAUGAAAUAAAUAAAAUACAUAUAUCAAGAUGUGUGAAAUGCAAAAUCAUAUCAUAUCAUAUUUACUCCAACCGAAUCCAGUACUUGCAUCAUAUUAACAUGCUUACUAAAAAACUAAGAACUAAGAACUACAAAAUCCACUACUUGCAUCAUAUAAGAUCCACAUGCAUCCUAUAUCAAAACAAAUAUUUCCAAUAUUCAUCAUAUAUAAAAAAAUUUAACAGAAAAAAUUAUGAACUAGGUUCAUCUUGAGGGUUCAACAUUUGUUCUCCAACUAUAUCCACUACUUGCCUCAUAGCAUAUCAACAUGCAUCAUCUUAUCACAAUAUAUUCCUCCAACAUGCAUCAUAUCAAAAAUAUGAACUAGGCUUGAUCUUCACAUAAUCAUACCAACUAGUGACUAGAGUUCAUAUCUAACACAAUAUAACAUCUAUAAUCAACCUAAAUCAAUCCUAGGGUUCAAAAUAUUUAAAUCUAGUUCAAGAAGGGGGGGUGAUUUGAAUCAAAUAAUGCGACGAAUCGGAAGCUAUUUGACUAAAACUAAUUGGAGGGAUCGAAGGAGCUUACUUUUCUUUCUUCGGGGCCAUCUCGAUCCGCAAAAAUGAUGAAGAAGCGACAAAGAUCUGAGGGAGGGAGUGCAGGAGAAGAGAGAGGGGCGAGAGGAGGAAGAACUCCUCUGUUCUUGGGCGGGUGGUUGGGGGAGAAGGGGAGGGGUGGGGCGGCCGGCGGCUUAUAACUGCCCGCACCCUACCGCCAGGUAUCCCGGCGGUAGGAUCCGACAGGCUACCGCCAUGACCUGCGGCGGUUGGGUGGGACGGAGGCCGUUAACGCUGCUGACGUGGAUAAGUUUCCUACCGCAGCAGUGUCUGGCGGUAGCCUAGGUAAUCCUACCGCCGGGCGUCCUGGCGGUAGCAAAAAGGAUCAAAUGUCGACUUUUUUUCAAAGUGGGGUCAAAUCCCGAUUUUGUUUGACAAAAGGGUCAGAACACGAAAUUUUGCCUCAUCCGGCCGCGUGCCACGCCGGUGGCUGGCAAUCUCGCGGUCUCCUGCCUCCCUCCCCGGCAUGGGUCUCCAUGACUCAACCUUCGGCAUGCUCUUCCAGGUCACACAAUCCACUAGGGUGCAGGAGGAGACCCCCGCCGAUUUUCUCAUACGGCACGGGUAGUGCGUUGGUCCGACUGACAGGUUACAAUUUGACGGAAAGUCUGGAUCUACACUUGGCUUUUAGACCCAUUUUUGAAACAAAUGCACGAAUACUGUAGUAUUUGCAUACUAUUUUCACACGUUGACUCCCGGACCAGGCGGAGAAAGACUUUAAAAAUUCUUUCACACACGGGUUGACUCGAGGAGUUGAGCCUGGCUAUGCAUGCACGGCGUCAUGGGAAAACCUCAGCAAAUCCCCAAGCCAGGACGAUAUCCAAGAUAACCUGUUUCACUAGAGAUACUAAGCUCCCUAGAAAUAGGGAGCCGUGAGUGAUCCAAGCUUUGGCCUCAUGGUUGACCCCACUUGUAUGUGGGAGUAAGCGUUGGUUUAUACUGAAGUUUUUUAGGGGUGCAAGCUGGAUCCAGAAAUGUGUUUUGUGUGUCGCUUGUGCAAGAUUUAUCAACAUAUAUUUCAUUUUGAGUCCAAACGUGAAGCCACCAAAGCCCAGGCACAAGCUGGUUGGCUCAAAUCUAUGCCUUCGGACCUAACUCUGGCACAUGCACACAUCUGACAUUCUCCCGUGUGCUGUAGGCUAUAUCUUGCCAGUGCCGACCGCUGCCCAGUGUAAGGUGGUUUUUGCAUUUGUGGCCCCACAUGUCAGAAAGUGGAUCGAUUGUGGGCUACGGUUGAAAUUUUAUUCACACAUUGACGUGGCGCUACUAUAUUGAUCAAUAAAUAAAUCUUUAAAGUCAUGAAUAAUUUAUAAAUUCAUGAUUUUUUUGAAUUUAUGAACAUUUCCGAAUUUCGGGAACUUCUAUUGCAAUCUGAGAACAUUUUCCGAUUCAUGAAUAUUUUUUUAUUCAAGAUUGUAUUGCGAGUAACAUUUUUUAAAAUUCCUGAACAAUCUAGGAAUCCCGAGCAAUAUUUUUUUCCAAAUCCGUAAAACAUUUUUAAAUUCAUGAUCACUUUCUAAAUUUGUGAAUAUUUUAAUUAUUUUUUUCUUAACAUUUGAAGCACCUUAACAACUGUUUUUUGUUUUUUCUUCUCUUUAUUUUUUUCCUCCACUUCUUUGGGUGGGCUCAGGCCUAAUAGGGGGACUGGUAGCCAACCGAAGUGAAUGUCCCGGUCGUCCUUCGAAGCGUUGCAUGUUGAAUGGUACCUCCUGUGCAUGCGGGUUAUUUCGCUGUCGGUGGAGGGGCAAACCAGUUUUCUGCUUUGUGCGUUUGUGAGGGGGUGGUACCAGCUUUUUGUUUCUGUGGCGAGCAAUUGGGUCACCGCUUUCUCCGUCUUCCCAUUGGGUCCUUCGGGCAAUGGAUUCGUGGUGAAAGACCGACAUUGUGUUGGCGCCGGGAGAGCUAGAACAAAAAACCAAACGUUGAAAAGCCAAGACAACAUGGGAACCUGUCGGAGAACCAUUAUAGUUAUGUCUCAUUGCACUAAACCUAACCUCAUUACCUCAAUUUUGGGAGGCAACUACGUAGUGAGAGUAGGGUCUUUUUGGGGACGAAAACCAGUGUAAGGGGAGUGAUUCUGAUAGCAGAGGCACAAGGUAACUGGGGUGCAUGGGGCGUGCGACGUACAUGGGUCUAGGGCUAUGCCUGCACGUGCGCAAAGUAGGGAAGUUAGAGAAAAGAGAUGUCUAUUUCUGUGUAAAUGGUUUGAUAAUCAAUUUUGUUUAUAUAGAAUAAAAACUGGCAAUAUACCAACACACAAACAACUAUAGAUGGAAACAUCAAUCCAAACACCAUAAACCAAGUAAACCAGACUACCUCUCAAAUCAGUUCAGUUUUGUUCUUUGUUUUUCAAUGUGGAAAUGCUCAUCUUUAACCAUAAUAGCCACACAAAAAUUAACUCACAACCGAGAAACGGCGCGGCAAAGCGCACGUCACCAUCUAGUAUUUUUCAUAAACCAAACCAUUCUCGCUCCAUGCUUGCAUGUGAACGAGUAGGCGAGCGAUCGACGUUGCCCUACUGCUUUGUCCGAGCUACUCCUACUUCACGUUAGGCCAUGCACGUCCCAGGGCUUGCCAAGUUCAACGCCUAGCCGGCGUCAAUAAUGGAACGAAUCCAACUCGGGAUACCUACAUACUCUUCUUACUGGCCCAUCAGCAUGCGCACCACGGUAUGGUACACUGUAAGCUGUCUGCCCGGCCCGGGGAAGGAGAAGCAGCCGAUCCCACAAGUGCAAAUUUCUGGAGGCCGGGCUCCUUGGAGCCCUUUUUUUACAUAAAUCAAAAAUCAUAUUUAAAAGUCUCAAAAAAUUCAAAAACAUUUUCAUGGAAACUUAUGUGUUUUCCACAUGAACGUGUAAAAAUCGUUUGAAAAUAUUUUGGUUUGUAUGCGGUAUGAAAAAGACAAAAUUCUGGCCCAAUAAAAAGAAAAGCUGGCCCAUUGUGGAAAUACAUAUGUGGUGUUGUCAUAGCAUUCCUCACCCCAUGCGGCCAAGGUCUAUUAUGACACGCUGGUCUGAGGAAAUUGAAGGAUGAGGGCUACUCCUACAACCGCGCAUUACCAUUUACUGUUGGAGAAAUUAAAGGAGCACUGCUAUGCACAUGACAACGCUAGAUGUAGUUUCAUGUUCUAUGUGACUUUAGUUGUCUCUCCGCUGUCACGACAAAGGGGAACUGACACGUGGGCGCAAGGGUUCUCCGGGGCGGGCAAGGCCCGAGCUCGACAGCUUAGCGAGGCGAUGCAUGAGUGGCUCAACAGUCUUAUGCAUUACAUCAAGGCGCGAGAGUUGUUCGAUCUGCGGGAUAAUGGCGGCCUCUCGAAGCAUAACGUGAAACGGUACCUCAGGAGAAACGGGCAUAGCUUGCACCUGCUACAGAUUAGCAUAUGCGUCGAGGAGAACCAAGAGGAAAGGAAACGGAUGGAUCAGUGUAACAUCCCAAAAUUCUAAAUUUUGGAAUGUUAUAUUAAAUAGAUAGUUUUGAUCGAUUGUUUGAUUUCUUCAGUGAAAUUUGAAACUUGUUGAAUGUUAAAUGAGAGGGAAUAAAAGGACUUUCCGAAACUUUCAUCUUGCUUUUAUGGUCUCCAUGAAUUCAAAUCCUUUUUCAAAUACAAACCCUGGAGUGAAGAUAAUAUGAGUUCUUCCAUUUAAAUAAAUGAAAAAGGGUUUUGAAAUGAUUUGAAUUUCAUUCAAAAAUACUUCCAAUUCAUAAACUUCAUGCAACUCAAUGAUUUUCAAGAGAGAAGAUAAAAUGACUUCUUCAAAACAUAUGAAAUAUGAGUUGGGAGUUUCGAAGAAAUCCAAUUUAAAGUCCCUUUGAAAAUUAUUUUCAAUUUGAACUUAUUUGGGUUUUAUUCAAAUUAUUUUUCUCCAAAAAAUAAAAUAUAUGGAAAUUAGGGUAAAAUGAUUCCCUACAUUAAAAAUUUGGAGAGAAAUAAAUUUGAAUUAAUUUUGGUAUUUUUAAAAUGAUUUUUAUUGGAUUUUAUUAGAGCAGUAGCACUCUUUGCUUUAUUUGAAUUAUUGAGGAUUUUAUUUGAUGUUAGAAUAAUGUUCAUGAUGUAGAAAAUAAUUUUUUGGAAAUUUUGAUAUAUUAUAUGCCUAUAGUAUGUUUUUAUUUUCUAUAGUUUAUUUUAUUUUUGCUGUCCGCAAAAUGUACAAAAAAAACUUUCUCUCCGCCCGCUGGGCCGGCCCAGCCGAAGCCAGGCCAAGGCUCAGCUCCGCGCCACCUCGCCUGUCGUCCCCAACCGGGACUCCUCCCGAGUCCGCCGCCGCGCCGGCAUGGACGUCGUGCCGCCUCUGGCCUCCUCUUGCCCCCUCCUACACGCCACCCCUCCCCUUGCCCUUUAAAAGGCCGACCCCGCCGUCCUCGCCUUCUCCUCCCCUCUACAGCCGCCGCCGCCCUCGCAUCUCGCGCCUCGCCGUCGUCGGCGAGAUUUGCCGCCCGCUCCACUUCGUCGCCGACGACCACCGACGUCGCCACCACCGCAACCACCGCCCAGCGUCGUCUCUCCCCGACCACUUCGUCAGCCUCGAAGACCGCCGGAGCCGCCGCCCCGUCUCGCCCGAGUCCGCCGCCUCGCCGGAACCGCCAGAUCCGCCGCCCGACCCGCCGGUUUUCCCGGUCCGGUAAUAAAUCGCCCCGGUUCGCCGAUUUUCUUUUAGGUUUUCGUUUUAAAACCCGUUUUGUUUUUCUAAGUAGCGGAUGUUUUCUGUUUAUUUAGUUUUAGUGAACAACUUCGUUCUGUAGAUAUUUUUUAGCGAAUGUACGUUCGGUAGAGUUUUUCUUUUUAUUUUAGUUUUUGGCCAGGGACUUCUUUGUAUAUAUUUUAUUUACAGAUUAGUCCCUAAUCUUUAAACCCUCACCAUUUUUCUCGUUAGUCGGAAUUAGACGAAACCAACGCCUACUUCUUUGUUAUGAUGCCCUCUAUCUAGAUAAUCAACUUAAACAUGUUUUUGACAGUUUAAAAUUUGUAAUUCAAACAAUUUAGUAUUUGAACUUCGUUUGAUCGUAACUCAAGUUCUAUAACUCCGUUUGAGUUGAUUCUUUUUGCAAAUUGAAGCUCUUGACCUAAAGUUUCUGGUAAGGCCAAAUUCACAUAGUUUUGGUACCUCUAGAAAUUGUUUUAUGCUGCAAGAGUGAUUUGCUUGGGUUUGAUGUUUUCUGAUUUGUUUUCUUCGUUCUCUCUUAUCCUUUGAGUGAUUGCUUAUGUGUGGUUACUAUUGCUUGCUUACGAUAGAUUGAACGGAGUGAGACGAAUAGAACUAUCAGGAGUUGAGUGUGAAUCAUCCUCAUCAACAGUACAGGAAAGUAACACUUUGAUCAUACCUCUUUACUACCCAGUUUUAUUGCAUUAGAUCAAUCCUCAAACAAUUGCACGAUUAGGAUCUGACUAAUAUGUGGGUAUUGGGAAGUAGAUGAGGUAGUACCAAUUACAUGUUUUAUUAUCAAACCUUUGGGAGUUACUUCUACGAUUGCUUACAUUGCUACGCUAUGCUCGUAGACGUGGAUUGCGUGAGUGAAUCCAUGACAGAUGUGAGAUUGUUAAUUAAUGGUUUAUUUAAGGUGGCAACUUUAAUACACAUCUGGGUGGAUUGAGGCACCUGGGGAUCCCAAUGAUUGCCUGUUUUUUGAUGGACCGCCACCCAGGCUCAAAGGGAUCAUGUCGCGCCCAAGAUGCGACCCUAUCCUAAAGGAACUCGAAGGUCUCACUAAGGAUAGAAUCAUAUAUUGGAUACGCUUUUGCAAGGUGGAUAUCAUUACAUCAACAUUACAUAAUAGUUGGGGAUACAUACAAAAGGCAUACAAUGCCACACGAAUACAACAUCAUAAUACUUAAGAGCACCAUCCGACUACAGAUGAAACACAAACGGAAUCCCAAACGACAUCCACCCUGCUAGCCCAGGCUGCCGACAUGGAACCUAUCCCCUGAUCGAAGAAGAAGCAGAAGAAGAACUCCAAAACAAGCAAGCAUCGCUCUCGCGUCAUGAUCAUCGCAUAACCUGUACCUGCAACUAUUGUUGUAGUAAUCUGUGAGCCACGAGGACUCAGCAAUCCCAUUACCAUGGGUAUCAAGACUAGCAUAGCUUAAUGGGUAAGGAAAAGAUAAGUGGUGAGGUUGCAGUAGCGGCUAAGCAAGUAUGGUGGCUAACAUACGCAAAUAAGAGCGAGAAGAGAAGCAACGGAAUGGUCGUGAAGCUAGCAAUGAUCAAGAAGUGAUCCUGAACUCCUACUUACGUCAAACAUAACCCAAAACCGUGUUCACUUCCCGGACUCCGCCGAAAAGAGACCAUCACGGCUACACACACGGUUGAUGCGUUUUAAUUCUUAUCUGGUGUCAAGUUACUACAACCGGACAUUAACAAAUUCCCAUCUGCCACAUAACCGCGGGCACGGCUCUCGAAAGUUUAUACCCUGCAAGGGUGUCCCAACUUAGCCCAUCACAAGCUCACACGGUCAACAAAGGAUAUUCCUUCUCCCAGGAAGACCCGAUCAGUCUCAGAAUCCCGGUUUACAAUACAUUUCGAUAAUGGUAAAACAAGACCAGCAAAGCCGCCCGAUGUGUCGAUAAUCCCUAUAGGAGCUGCACAUAUCUCGUUCAUAGGGCAACACCGGAUGAGACUAGCUACGAGUAAAACCAGACCUCGAGUUUCCCUGAGGUGGCCCCGCAGGCAGCUCGGUUCAGACCAGCACUUAGAGAAGCACUGGCACGGGGGGCUAAAAUAAAGAUGACCCUCGGGUUGGCCGACCCAAGGGAAGGGUAUAGGUGGUGGUGAGGCAAAUGGUAAAACCAAGGUUGGACCUUGCUGGAGGAGUUUUAUUCAAAGCGAACUAUCAAGGGGGUCCCAUAAAUCACCCAACCGCGUAAGGAACGCAAAAUCAAGAAACAUAACACCGGUAUGACGGAAACUAGGGCGGCAAGAGUGGAACAAAACACCAGGCAUAAGGCUGAGUCUUCCACCCUUUACCAAGUAUAUAGAUGCAUUAAUUAAAUAAGAGAUAUUGUGAUAUCCCAACAUAAUCUUGUCCAUCAUGGAGCAAUCUUCAACUUCACCUGCAACUAACAAUGCUAUAUGAGGGGCUGAGCAAAAGUGGUAACAUAGCCAAGCAACGGUUUGCUAGGAAGGUUGUAAAAGGUUAGAGGCUGACAUGGCAAAUUGGGAGGCUUGAAGAAUAAGUGAUAGGUAGCGCAGCAAAGCGAUAGAACGAAGUAACUAGCAUAACAAUGAUAGUAGUGAGAUCUAGAGUAAUGGUCAUCUUGCCUGAAAUCCCGCUAGGAAGAAGAACGAGUCCAUGAAGAAGACGAACGGAUGAAGCCGAACCAAGCAUAGACGAACAAAUCCUCGCGAUCGCAACGAAAAGGGAACUAUCGAGAAGAAGCACACAACAUGGUAAGCACACCACACAUGAACAAGGCAUGAUGCUCAACCAAGUAUGAUGCAAGGCUACAUCAAGCUACUCAUGGCAAGAGAUGAUGCAAACAAGAGCAACACAUCAAGGCAAGUUUAAAUGAGGUCGAAAACAACAUAUAAUAAAUCCGGUAAGUCCUCAUAAGCAAAUUUAGAAAUAGGCCCAGAUCUGAAUAAACCUUAUGUUCAAAUUGUUAAACAGCAAGUUAAGAUGCACCAAGAUGAUCUACACGAGAUUCUAGUCAAGUUACAUAUAAAGUUCAUUUAGUUCGGAGCUACGGCCUAGAAGAUAUGAGCAAAAGAAGUUAAACCUGGCAUUGAUGCAAAAUGUAUUCAAACAUCAAACAAACACACCAAAACAAGUGUUCAACAUGAUAAUAUGAAACUACAUGCAAAAUCAAGCAAGUUUCAUAUAGAGCAUGCUCAAAACGGAGCAACGGUUCAACAUAUACACUCUACAAGUUUAAAGCACAAGUUAUCCAAAACAGCAACUAGGCAUCUUGCAAGCAUCAAAACAAUGUGCUACAGCCGCUCAACAUGAUAACAAAAGGCAUGGACAUUAUAUACAAAUGAAGCUUAACAAAACAUGAACACUGAGCUAUCACCAGAAAUCACUAGAACAUGCUCAAAAGGACAUGGCAAGAUUGCAUAAAAUAACAAUUUCAGACUUAGCAGAAAUAACAUCAGGUUGCAAUGUUUAGAGCUAUCAAACAACAUGUGACAUGAACGUAUCAUGGCAAACAAAGGCAAGGCAUGCUACUACUAAAGACAAAGAACAAAUCUCCCUUACUGAACUAAUUCCAAAGAUCAACAGAAAAGAUGGUAGCAUCCAUGCAAACAUGGCAAAUGAUAUGACAGAUUCAGACAUGGCAGGAACAACAAUAAGUAGGCAUGUUGGUGAGCUUGUACAACUCACCAUAGAGCAUUAAAUGGCAUGACAAGGAAACCAACAGUAAUAUGGCAGAAUUAUGAAGCUAAACAUGGCAAGAGCAAGUUCGUAGCAUGCUUGGAUCACUAGUAAAGCUCAUGGAAAACUGAACUUAAUAUUAACAAGCUGACAGCAACAAUAUUUAGCAAUAUGAGGGCAAGAUUACAACAAGCUACAGAAGGCUAUAAAUACAACCAGGGGUAUGGGUGGAUAUAGAAUGACAUGUAUAACAAAACAUUCUUAGUGAACAUCUCCAGAUUAUGCAUAGAAUGACUUGUAGCAGCAGGUUUACAUAGCAUCAUGAUAUAACAGAUUCAGCCUAGCAAAACAGUAACAGCAAGUAUACUACUUCACAGCUUGAUGCACUCACUACAAGACUCACAACAAUACAUGGAUUACACCACUGUAAAGAUGGCAUGAUGUAGCACAAAACUCAUGUAGACAUCAAGCUCAUAAGAUGCACACACAAAAGGUAAUGAAAAAGACAAAACAGCAAGUUCUCUUAAACUACAGCAGACAACAUCAUAUAGCACUCUUGCAACGAUUAUUUGGGCAUCAAGAUGAACUCAAACAAGCAUGGCACAGUGGAACAAAAUGGAGAGCAUCUCACAGUGAACAUUUUGAUAUAUCACACGCACAAAAUGGAGCAAUAUGCACGGAGUUACAUUAUGAUGAAAAUGCCUAUAUGAUGCUGAUAAACAGGGACUUGGGCAAUUUUCAAAAAAAACAUGGAUGAGCGCCAUUUAGUUAUCUCGCGCAUAGAGGGGGUUAGGCACGCUCGCUCACCUUGGGCCACUUGGGCCAAAGAGGAGGGAGAGGCGGAUAGGGCCAGCACGGAGCAGGCCGGCGGGGACGGGCCGCGGGGCCCACAUGGCCGGCUGCGCGUGUGCCCGCACGCGGGGAUGACGACAGAGCCGCGGCGGCGAGGGAGCCCGGCGAAGGAGGCGAAGAGAAGGCCGGGGCAGUGGGGAGCCGACAGAUCCGGCCGCGGGGACGCGGGAUCCGGCCGGAUCCGGAGUAGGACGGGCGGCGGCGAGCACUGACGGCGAGGCACGGCGUGGGCUCUGGUGAGGUAGCGAAGCGGCGCGGUGGCGGGGCGAGGUCCGGCAAGGCGCUGCAGGGCGGCGCGGUGGUUGAUGAUGGCGGGAGAGGGAGGCAGAGUCGCAACGAGGUGCGGGCGCGCGGGCCCCCGCGAGCUUUGGCCGGCGGCGGCGCCCGGCGAGGUCGGGACUCCCUCCCGAUCCAGAUCGGAUCGAGGAGCGGAGCUGCGGGCGACGGGCGCGUGUGGGAGCCUGCGGGCGCGGUCGGGGCCUGGUUCGGCCCGGGGCGGGCCUGGCCUGGGCCUCGGUGGGUUCUGGCGGCGGGAGGCGCUGGCUGGGACGCGUGGAAGCGCAAGAGAGGCCGGCAGCGUCGGCUGGCGGUGGCUGGCCACUCCGGUGGUGCCACUUGGUGGCGGAGGAGUGGCCCGGCGCGGAGUUUGAGGAGGGCGUCGGCAGUUGUAGGUGGGAAGGAGGCUGGCGGCGCGCGGAUUUCAAGGAAGGAGUUGUCUGCUUCCAAAAAUGGAAGGGGAGGCUUCCUUUUAUAGCUAGAGGCUAGGGUUUGAGGGGUUUUGCUCUGUUUUCGGGCAUCGGAUCUCGAUCCGACGAUCCGGAGCGGAGGGGUUUUUUAGGUGGGCAGCAGGUGGGCUGUGCAGAAGGCCAUUGGCUGAGAAGAAAGGGAAGGUGGCAGCCCGACAAGGGUUUUCGGAGACCAAAAACGUCCAACAAAGGUGCCAGCAGUGGUACCACUAUAUGUUUAAUGGUUGGGCUAUCAAACGAGCUCUGAAUGCGACGAAACUUGACAGGCGGUCUACCUACACCAAAAUAAGACCGCACGCCAACUUUCACCCCAUUCAGAGAACAUUUUUAUGCCACUCAUAAAUAAUAUUUUGGAAGUGUCGCGGGCGCGUGCAAGUGUGUCUGGGCUUAGAACGGCCAACGGAAAGAACUGGCGGAACCCGAACGAAUGCAAGUUUUGAAAAACAUGCAGAUGAAAUGCAGAUGAUGACAUGUCAAAAUGCAACACGCAAGCAAAUGACAUGGCAACAAUGACGAGUAGCUGGGAGACACCUGGCGCAUCAAAUCCGGGGUGUUACAACUCUCCUCCACUAACAAGAGAUCUCGUCCCGAGAUCUUAGGAACGAGACGGAAGAGAAAGAGGAAGAGGUGAAGUAAGAAUGCAAGAGAGAAGAUGAACAAAGUCUAGAGCACUAGGUUAGAAAAGAUGACCGGCGAAUAUGACGAGAAUCAAAUGCUCAUGGAAACAAGAUAGACUCUAAAAGCACUCUGGUUAGAACAAGAUAGGAAAGGAAUAAGAAUGGAAGAAUUUAGGCAGCACUCCGGCUGAAAAUGGGAGGAAUAGAACAUGAACUUCACAAGAUGGGAUGGCACUUGAUGAGAUGAACACCGCAAAGCCUCCGGAAGAAUUGAAAUAGAAUGAAAAGAACUUAGAAGGAAGGAUUGAAUGGAGUUGUUGAGAAAAUCAACAACGAAAGAAUAACCUUGUUGUGGACUUAUCAAAACAACUCAAAAAUCGAGGUGAAAUUAUGCCACAACCAAAUGCUUGAAUAUCUGGGAAUAACAAAGAAAUGCAAAACUCCACUUAAUAAGAAAAGGAAGAAUUAUUUGCACUUCGAGACGCGAGAAGAAAAGAUACUUGAACUCCUCCAACAAAAUCUUGAUGAACUCUUGAGAAUGAAUUAAAUCAUGAAGAACCACCAUGAAGAACUCCGGUGACAAAAGAAUCAUGAGAUAGAAUGAAGGACGAAAAAAAUAAGAUUAAGCCUUGCGGUGAUUUAGAUGGAGGUUCCGACGAAAUGGCCAAGAAAAAUUUUAACUCCGAAAAAGAAAAGGUGGAAACACUUAGAAAAGAGAGAUAAUUCAUCAAGAACAAACUCUGAAGGAAGGGAUUAAUCACUUGGAUGAAAUAAGAAUAAGAUUUAUUGUAUGCUUAUCCUUUAUCAAAUUUAAUUGAUGACAACCGUAUUUUGCAUACUACUUAUUCUUCUUGAAAAAGGAUUGAGAAGUGACAUAUCACAAACUUGAGAAGGUCUUCAUGAACCACCGGUAGGAUUGGAAAGAACGAAUGGAUUAAUAUGGUAACAAAGGAAAAAAGAAUCUGAAGGAACCACCGUAAGAAUUCGAAAAUGACUGAUGAAAGAGAAUGAAUAACCAGGAUAAUUGGAUAAUGGUAGCUGAAAUGUGAGGACGAAGAAUUCUUCUGGGACGAUGGCCUCCUGCGAAAAGAAAGCGGGAAAACAACUUCUGACAAACUCCGGAUGGGUAAGAAAAGGAAUAUCUGACAGAUGGAAUAAUUUGAGACUGAUAACAUGAAGCUAGAACCACGAAACUUCAAGAAAACGAACAAGAUUUAAGAGAAACUCUUCUUCGAUCUUCGAAUGACGAAGGGAAACAACACCAAAAUUAUUGAGAUACUCCGGGAGAAUGAAAAGCCGAAAAGGUUGAGCCAACAAUGAAAAGAAUUUGAACAAGAUCUUGGAGAAGGCAUCUGACUGAUGGGAUCCAUUCUUACGUCACACUUAAAAGGAAUUUGAGAAUAACUCCGGGAGAAUUAGAAGAGUCAGGUAAGAUCCUGGGAAAAGACCUGUGGGUUAGGGCCCACUAAAGAGAAAACACCGUUGGAAAGGGUUAUUGAACAGAUAGAUGAUGCACCGGAACAAUUGAAAUAUAUGAAUGAGGUGACAACCUCGAAUUAAUUGGAACACAGACGAAUCUCCUGAGAUGUCUUUCGAACUCCGGAAUGAUUGAAUGGCGAGAGGCAAAUGAGCAAGGAGAACACUUGAUCCAAGGAAAAGAAUGUGAUCAACCCGAAAAACUUGAAUUGAGUGCACCGGAAAAAGAAAGGGAUGAAGAAUGACGAACGAGACGAGAAUUCACCGGUUGAAAUAAUUGAGGGAAUACUGAAGAGGCUCCGUAUGAAUGAAAUUGAUGCUCGAAACAGACUUAGGCUCCGGGAAGACGAGGGUGGGAGGGCGGGAAAACAAAGGCAACUUUGAAGGGGGGACCGACGAAUAUCUUGAAGAGAAAACACCGGUUGAAAUCAUUAAGGAAAGAAAACAAAAACUCCGCACGAGUAGGAAGGAUACUCGAUUACGGACUCCGGCUCAGAGGAGAAAAAGGGGUGGGCAGGUGGGAAAAAGAAAACAACUGAGGAUUGAACUUGGCAACGAUGAAAAGGCUCGAGUCGACUUGACAAGAAAUGCACCGGAUGAAAAGAGCUGAGACCCAACGAUCGGAAAACCAACUGUGUGAUCCUAAAGAAAAAUUUGAAGGGGAAGAGGAGUAAUUCAAAACACCUACGACAAGAUUCCUCACCAGAGCGACGAAGGAGGCUGAGGAGUAAAAAGAACUCCUACUCUCCAUAUAACGGAACUCUGAAAAAGGUUUUCUUCUAGACUCGACAACGGCCAAACUACAUGAUCAAUCAAGGGGGCUCCUAUGGUCGAUCGAGGCUCUGAUACCAACUAGUCACGCCCAAGAUGCUACCCUAUCCUAAAGGAACUCGAAGGUCCCACUAAGGAUAGAAGCGCAUAUUGGAGACGCUUUUGCAAGGUGGAUAUCAUUACAUCAACAUUACAUAAUAGUUGGGGAUACAUACAAAAGGCAUACAAUGCCACACGAAUACAACAUCAUCUUACUUAAGAGCACCAUACGACUAUGGAUGAAACACAAAUGGAAACUCAAACGACAUCCACCCUGCUAGCCCAGGCUGCCGACCUGGAACCUAUCCCCUGAUCGAAGAAGAAGCAGAAGAAGAACUCCAAAACAAGCAAGCAUCGCUCUCGCGUCAUGAUCAUUGCAUAACCUAUACCUGCAACUGUUGUUGUAGUAAUCUGUGAGCCACGAGGACUCAGCAAUCCCAUUACCAUGGGUAUCAAGACUAGCAAAGCUUAAUGGGUAAGGAAAGGAUAAGUGGUGAGGUUGCAGCAGCGGCUAAGCAAGUAUGGUGGCUAACAUACGCAAAUAAGAGAGAGAAGAGAAGCAACGGAACGGUCGUGAAGCUAGCAAUGAUCAAGAAGUGAUCCUGAACUCCUACUUACGUCAAACAUAACCCAAAACCAUGUUCACUUCCCGGACUCCGCCGAAAAGAGACCAUCACGGCUACACAAAAGGUUGAUGCGUUUUAAUUCGUAUCUGGUGUCAAGUUAUCUACAACCGGACAUUAACAAAUUCCCAUCUUCCACAUAACCGCGGGCAUGGCUCUCGAAAGUUUAUACCCUGCAGGGGUGUCCCAACUUAGCCCAUCACAAGCUCUCGCGGUCAAUGAAGGAUAUUCCUUCUCCCAGGAAGACCCGAUCAGUCUCGGAAUCCCGGUUUACAAGACAUUUCGACAAUGGUAAAACAAGAGCAGCAAAGCCGCCCGAUGUGCCGACAAUCCCGAUAGGAGCUGCACAUAUCUCGUUCUCAGGGCAACACCGGAUGAGACUAGCAACGAGUAAAACCAUACCUCAAGUUUCCCCGAGGUGGCCCCGUAGGCAGCUCGGUUCGGACCAGCACUUAGAGAAGCACUGGCCCAGGGGGGCUAAAAUAAAGAUGACCCUCGGGUUGGCCGACCCAAGGGAAGGGUAUAGGUGGUGGUGAGGCAAAUGGUAAAACCAAGGUUGGGCCUUGCUGGAGGAGUUUUAUUCAAAGCGAACUGUCAAGGGGGUCCCAUAAAUCACCCAACCGCGUAAGGAAUGCAAAAUCAAGGAACAUAACACCGAUAUAACGGAAACUAGGGCGGCAAGAGUGGAACAAAACACCAGGCAUAAGGCCGAGUCUUCCACCCUUUACCAAGUAUAUAGAUACAUUAAUUAAAUAAGAGAUAUUGUGAUAUCCCAACAUAAUCAUGUCCAUCAUGGAGCAAUCUUCAACUUCACCUGCAACUAACAACGCUAUAAGAGGGGCUGAGCAAAAGCGGUAACAUAGCCAAGCAACGGUUUGCUAGGAAGGUUGUAAAAGGUUAGAGGCUGACAUGGCAAAUUGGGAGGCUUGAAGAACAAGUGAUAGGUAGCGCAGCAAAGCGAUAGAAUGAAGCAACUAGCAUAACAAUGAUAGUGGUGAGAUCCAGAGUAACGGUCAUCUUACCUGAAAUCCCGCUAGGAAGAAGAACGAGUCCCUGAAGAAGACGAAUGGAUGAAGCCGAUCCAAGCGUAGACGAACAAAUCCUCACGAUCGCAACGAAACGGGAACUAUCGAGAAAAAGCACACAACAUGGUAAACACACCACACAUGAACAAGGCAUGAUGCUCAACCAAGUAUGAUGCAAGGCUACAUCAAGCUACUCAUGGCAAGAGAUAAUGCAAAUAAGAUUAACACAUCAAGGCAAGUUUAAAUGAGGCUGGAAACAACAUAUAAUAAAUCCGGUAAGUCCUCAUAUGCAAAUUUCGAAAUAUCUCCAGAUAUGAAUAAACCUUAUGUUCAAAUUGUUAAACAGCAAGUUAAGAUGCACCAAGAUGAUCUACACGAGAUUCUAGUCAAGUUACAUAUAAAGUUCAUUCAGUUUGUUGGGGAACGUAGUAAUUUCAAAAAAUUUCCUACGUACACGCAAGAUCAUGGUGAUGGCAUAGCAACGAGAGGAGGAGUGUAUCUUCAUACCCUUGAAGAUCGCUAAGCGGAAGCGUUUAUCAACGCGGUUGAUGUAGUCGUACGUCUUCACGAUCCGACCGAUCCAAGUACCGAACGCACGGCACCUCCGAGUUCUGCACACGUUCAGCUCGAUGACGUCCUCGCCUUCUCGAUCCAGCAAGACAGGUGAAGUAGUAGAUGAGUUCCGGCAGCACUACGGCGUGGUGAUGGUGUUGGUGAAGAACAAUCUCCGCAGGGCUUCGCCUAAGCACUACAGAAACUAUGACGGAGGACAAACUAGAGGGGACGGGGUUGCCGGCACACGGCUUGGUGUUUCUUGAUGUGUCUUUGGUGCUAGCCCUACCCCUCUAUUUAUAUGUUGAGCCUUGGGGUCAAAACUUGGAGGAAAAGCCUCCACAAAGUCGGUUUCACCCGAAAGGCAAGAGUCCUUCUCGGACUCCAGGGCCAGACGCCAGGGUUCCCGGCGUCUGGACCCAGACGCCAGGGACCCUGGCGUCUGGCCCCUGGACUCCGCAAAACUUCCUUUUGCGCUUUCCAAAAACCUUGUGGGCUUUCCCCUUUGGCCCAAAUAACGUGUUCUCGUUCCCAAACAUUUCGUGAAACAUCCGGAACCCCUUCCGCUGAAUUUCGGAACUCUUCCGGAGAUCAAACACUAUUAUCCCAUAUAUCAAACUUUAUCUCCGGACCAUUCCGGAGUUCCUCGUCAUGUCCAUGAUCUCAUCCGGGACUCCGAACAACAUUCGGUUACCAACAUACAUAACUCAUAUAAUACUAUAUCGUCAACGAAACGUUAAGCGUGCGGACCCUACUGGUUCGAGAACUAUGUAGACAUGACCUAGAACUUGUUUCCGGUCAAUAACCAAUAGCGGGACCUGGAUAUCCAUAUUGGCUCCCACAUAUUCUACGAAGAUCUUUAUCGGUCAAACCGCAUAACAACAUACGUUGUUCCCUUUGUCAUCGGUAUGUUACUUGCCCGAGAUUUGAUCGUUGGUAUCCAAUACCUAGUUCAAUCUCGUUACCGGCAAGUCUCUUUACUCGUUAUGUAAUACAUCAUUCUGUAACUAACUCAUUAGCUACACUGCUUGCAAGGCUUAUAGUGAUGUGCAUUACCGAGAGGGCCCAGAGAUACCUCUCCGACAAUCGGAGUGACAAAACCUAAUCUUGAAAUAUGCCAACUCAACAUGUACCUUCGGAGACACCUGUAGUACUCCUUUAUAAUCACCCAGUUACGUUGUGACGUUUGGUAGUACCCAAAGUGUUCCUCCGGUAAACGGGAGUUGCAUAAUUCUCAUAGCUACAGGAACAUGUAUAAGUCAUGAAGAAAGCAAUAGCAGUAUACUAAACGAUCAAGUGCUAGGCUAACGGAAUGGGUCAUGUCAAUCACAUCAUUCUUCUAAUGAUGUGAUCCCACUAAUAAAAUGACAACACAUGUCUAUGGUUAGGAAACAUAACCAUCUUUGAUUAAUGAGCUAGUCAAGUAGAGGCAUACUAGUGACUAUAUGUUUGUCUAUGUAUUCACACAUGUAUCAUGUUUCCGAUUAAUACAAUUCUAGCAUGAAUAAUAAACAUUUAUCAUGAUAUAAGGAAAUAAAUAACAACUUUAUUAUUGCCUCUAGGGCAUAUUUCCUUCAGUCUCCCACUUGCACUAGAGUCAAUAAUCUAGUUCACAUCAUCAUGUGAUUUAACACCAAUAUUCAUAUAUGUAUAUGAUUAACACCCAUAGUUCACAUCGUCAUGUGAUCAACACCCAAAGGGUUUACUAGAGUCAGUAAUCUAGUUCACAUCGCUAUGUGAUUAACACCCAAAGAGUACUAAGGUAUGAUCAUGUUUUGCUCGUGAGAGAAGUUUAGUCAACGGGUCUGACAUAUUACAGAGUCGUAUGUAUUUUGCAAAUAUUCUAUGUCUACAAUGCUUUGCACGGAGCUACUCUAGCUAAUUGCUCCCACUUUCAACAUGUAUCCAGAUUGAGACUUAGAGUCAUCUGGAUUGGUGUAAAAGCUUUGCAUUGAUGUAACUCUUUACGACGAACUCUUUUGUCACCUCCAUAAUCGAGAAACAUAUCCUUAUUCUACUAAGGAUAAUUUUCACCAAUGUCCAGUGAUCUACUCCUAGAUCACUAUUGUACUCCCUUGCCAAACCAGGGCAGAGUAUACAAUAGGUCUGGUCCAUAGCAUGGCAUACUUUUAUAGAACCUAUGGCUGAUGCAUAGGGAAUGACUUUCAUUCUCUUUCUAUUUUCUGCAGUGGUCGGGUCUUGAGUCUUACUCAAUUUCACACCUUUGCAACAUAGGCAAGAACUCUUUCUUUGACUGUUCCAUUUUGAACUAUUUCAAAAUCUUGACAAGGUAUGUUCUUAUUGAAAAAAAACUUAUCAAGCGUCUUGAUCUAUCUCAAUAGAACUUGAUGCUCAAUAUGUAAGCAGCUUCACCGAGGUCUUUCAUUGAAAAACCUUUUAUUCAAUUAUCCUUUUAUGCUAUCCAGAAAUUCUAUAUCAUUUCCAAUCAACAAUAUGUCUUGCACAUAUAAUAUCAGAAAUGCUAGAGAGCUCUCACUCACUUUCUUGUAAAUACAGGCCUUUCCAAAAGUCUGUAUAAAACCAUAUGCUUUGAUCAACUCAUCAAAGCGUAUAUUCCAACUCCGAGAUGCUUGCACCAGUCCAUUGAUGGAUCGUUGGAGCUUGCACAUUUUGUUAGUACCUUUAGGAUUAACAAAACCUUCUGGUUGCAUCAUAUACAAGUCUUAUUUAAUAAAUCCAUUAAAGAAUGUAGUUUUUGACAUCCAUUUGCCAGAUUUCAUAACAUGUGACAAUUGCUAACAUGAUUCGGACAGACUUAAGCAUCGCUACAGUUGAGAAAAUCUCAUUGUAGUCAACACCUUGAACUUGUCAAAAACCUUUUUGUGACAAGUCGAGCUUUGUAGAUAGUAACACUACUAUCAAUGUCCGUCUUCCUCUUGAAGAUCCAUUUAUUUAACAUGGCUUGCUGAUCAUCGAGCAAGUCAAUCAAAGUCCAUACUUUGUUCUCAUACAUGGAUCAUAUCUCAGAUUUCAUGGCCUCAAGCCAUUUCGCGGAAUCUGGGCUCAUCAUCACUUCCUCAUAGUUCGUAGGUUCAUCAUGGUCUAGUAACAUGACUUCUAGAACGGGAUUACCGUACCACUUUGGUGCGGAUCUUAUUCUGGAAGACCUACGAGGUUCGGUAGUAACUUGAUCUGAAGCUUCAUGAUCAUUAUCAUUAACUUCCUCACUAAUCGGUGUAGGCAUCACUGGAACUGAUUUAUGUGAUGAACUACUUUCCAAUUUGGGAGAAGGUACAAUUACCUUAUCAAGUUCUACUUUCCUCCCACUCACUUCUUUCGAGAGAAACUCCUUCUCUAGAAAGGAUCCAUCUUAGCAACAAAUCUUGCUUUCGGAUCUGUGAUAGAAGGUGUACCCAAUAGUUACCUUUGGGUAUUCUAUGACGACGCACUUCUCCGAUUUGGGUUCGAGCUUAUCAGGUGAAAACUUUUUCACAUAAGCAUCGCAGCCCCAAACUUUAAGAAACGACAACUUUGGUUUCUUGCCAAACCACAGUUCAUAAGGCAUCAUCUCAACGGAUUUUGAUGGUGCCCUAUUUAAAGUGAAUGCAGUUGUCUUUAAUGCAUAACCCCAAAACGAUAGUGGUAAAUCGGUAAGAGACAUCAUAGAUUGCACUAUAUCCAAUAAAGUACUGUUAUGACGUUCGGACACACCAUUAAGCUGUGGUGUUCCAGGUGGCAUGAGUUUGUGAAACUAUUCCACAUUGUCUUAAUUGAAGACCAAACUCGUAACUCAAAUAUUCGUCUCCACGAUCAGAUCGUAGAAAUUUUAUUUUUCUUGUUACGAUGAUUUUUCCACUUCACUCUGAAAUUCUUUGAACUUUUCAACUAUUUCAGACUUAUGUUUCAUCAAGUAGAUAUACCCAUAUCUGCUCAAAUCAUUUGUGAAGGUUAGAAAAUAAUGAUACUUGCCACGAGCCUUAACACUCAUCGGAUCGCAUACAUCGGUAUGUAUUAUUUCCAAUAAGUCAGUAGCUCGUUCGAUUGUUCCGGAGAACGGAGUUUUCGUCAUCUUGCCCAAAAGGCACGGUUCGCAAGCAUCAAGUGAUUCAUAAUCAAGUGAUUCCAAAAUCCCAUCAGCAUGGAGUUUCUUCAUGCGCUUUACACCAAUAUGACCUAAACUGCAGUGCCACAAAUAAGUUGCACUAUCAUUAUUAACUUUGCAUCUUUUGGUUUCAAUAUUAUGAAUAUGUGUAUCACUACGAUCGAGAUCCAACGAACCAUUUUCAUUGGGUGUGUAACCAUAUAAGGUUUUAUUCAUGUAAACAGAACAACAAUUUAUUCUCUUACUUAAAUGAAUAACUGUAUUGCAAUAAACAUGAUCAAAUCAUAUUUUCAUGCUCAACGCAAACACCAAAUAACACUUAUUUAGUUUCAACACUAAUCCCGAAAGUAUAGGGAGUGUGCGAUGAUGAUCAUAUCAAUCUUGGAACUACUUCCAACACACAUCGUCACCUCGCCUUUUUACUAUUUUCUGUUUAUUCUGCAACUCCCGUUUUGAGUUACUACUCUUAGCAACUGAACCAGUAUCAAAAUGCCGAGGGGUUGCUAUAAACACUAGUAAAGUACACAUCAAUAACAUGUAUAUCCAAUAUACCUUUGUUCACUUUUGCCAUCCUUCUUAUCCGCCAAAUACUUGGGGUAGUUCCACUUCCAGUGACCAGUCCCUUUGCAGUAGAAUCACUUAGUCUUAGGCUUAGGUCCAGACUUGGGCUUCUUCACUUGAGCAGCAACUUGCUUGCUGUUCUUCUUGAAGUUCCCCUUCUUCCCUUUGCCCUUUUUCUUGAAACUAGUGAUCUUGUCCACCAUCAACACUUUGAUGUUUUUCUUUGAUUUCUACCUUCGCCGAUUUUUGCAUCGCGAAGAGCUUGGGAAUCGUUUUCAUCAUCCCUUGCAUAUUAUAGUUCAUCACGAAGUUCUACUAACUUGGUGGUGGUGACUAGAGAAUUCUGUCAAUCACUAUCUUAUCUGCAAGAUUAACUCCCACUUGAUUCAAGCGAUUGUAGUACCCAGACAAUCUGAGCACAUGCUCACUAGUUGAGCGAUUCUCCUCCAUCUUUUAGCUAUAGAACUUGUUGGAGACUUCAUAUCUCUCAACUCGGGUAUUUGCUUGAAAUAUUAACUUCAACUCCUGGAACAUCUCAUAUGGUCCAUGACGUUCAAAACGUCUUUGAAGUCCCGAUUAUAAGCCGUUAAGCAUGGUGCACUAAACUAUCAAGUAGUCAUCAUAUUGAGCUAGCCAAACGUUCAUAACGUCUGCGUCUGCUCCUGCAAUAGGUCUGUCACCUAGCGGUGCAUUAAGGACAUAAUUCUUCUGUGCAGCAAUGAGGAUAAACCUCAGAUCACGGAUCCAAUCCGCAUCAUUUCUACUAACAUCUUUCAACACAAUUUUCUCUAUGAACAUAUCAAAAUAAACAUAUGAAAGCAACAACGCAAGCUAUUGAUCUACAACAUAAUUUGCAAAAUACUACCAGGACUAAGUUCAUGAUAAAUUAAAGUUCAAUUAAUCAUAUUACUUAAGAACUCCCACUUAGACAGACAUCUCUCUAGUCAUCUAAGUGAUCACGUGAUCCAAAUCAACUAAACCAUGUCCGAUCAUCACGUGAGAUGGAGUAGUUUCAAUGGUGAACAUCACUAUGUUGAUCAUAUCUACUAUAUGACUCACGUUCGACCUUUCAGUCUCCGUGUUCCGAGGCCAUAUCUGUAUAUGCUAGGCUCGUCAAGUUUAACCUGAGUAUUCCGCGUGUGCAACUGUUUUGCACCCGUUGUAUUUGAACGUAAAGCCUAUCACACCCGAUCAUCACGUGGUGUCUCAGCACGAAGAACUUUCACAACGGUGCAUACUCGGGGAGAACACUUCUUGAUAAUUAGUGAGAGAUCAUCUUAAAAUGCUACCGUCAAUCAAAGCAAGAUAAGAUGCAUAAAGGAUGAACAUCACAUGCAAUCAAUAUAAGUGAUAUGAUAUGGCCAUCAUCAUCUUGUGCUUGUGAUCUCCAUCUUCGAAGCACCGUCAUGAUCACCAUCGUCACCGGCGCGACACCUUGAUCUCCAUCGUAGCAUCGUUGUCGUUACGCCAUCUAUUGCUUCUACGACUAUCGCUACCGCUUAGUGAUAAAGUAAAGCAAUUACAGGGCGUUUGCAUUUCAUACAAUAAAGCGACAACCAUAUGGCUCCUGCCAGUUGCCGAUAACUUCGGUUACAAAACAUGAUCAUCUCAUACAAUAAAAUAUAGCAUCACGUCUUGACCAUAUCACAUCACAACAUGCCCUGCAAAAACAAGUUAGACGUCCUCUACUUUGUUGUUGCAAAUUUUACGUGGCUGCUACGGGCUUAGCAAGAACCGUUCUUACCUACGCAUCAAAAACCACAACGAUAGUUCGUCAAGUUAGUGUUGUUUUAACCUUCGCAAGGACCGGGCGUAGCCACACUCGAUUCAGCAAAAGUGAGAGAGACAGACACCCGCCAGCCACCUUUAAGCACGAGUGCUCGUAACGGUGAAACCAGUCUCGCGUAAGCGUACGCGUAAUGUCAGUCCGGGCCGCUUCAUCUCACAAUACCGCCGAACCAAAGUAUGACAUGCUGGUAAGCAGUAUGACUUGUAUCGCCCACAACUCACUUGUGUUCUACUCGUGCAUACAACAUCAACGCAUAAAACCUAGGCUCUGAUGCCACUGUUGGGGAACGUAGUAAUUUCAAAAAAAUUCCUACGUACACGCAAGAUCAUGGUGAUGGCAUAGCAACGAGAGGAGGAGUGUAUCUUCAUACCCUUGAAGAUCGCUAAGCGGAAGCGUUUAUCAACGCGGUUGAUGUAGUCGUACGUCUUCACGAUCCGACCGAUCCAAGUAUCGAACGCACGGCACCUCCGAGUUUUGCACAUGUUCAGCUUGAUGACAUCCUCGCCUUCUCGAUCCAGCAAGACGGGCGAAGUAGUAGAUGAGUUCUGGCAGCACGACAGCGUGGUGACGGUGUUGGUGAAGAACAAUCUCCGCAGGGCUUCGCCUAAGCACUACAGAAACUAUCACGGAGGAUAAACUAGAGGGGACGGGGUUGCCGGCACACGGCUUGGUGUUUCUUGAUGUGUCUUUGGUGCUAGCCCUACCCCUCUAUUUAUAUGUUGAGCCUUGGGGUCGAAACUUGGAGUAAAAGCCUCCACAAAGUCGGUUUCACCCGAAAGGCAAGAGUCCUUCUCAGACUCCAGGGCCAGACGCUAGGGUUCCCAGCGUCUGGCCCCAGACGCCAGGGACCCUAGCGUCUGGCCCCUGGACUCCGCAAAACUUCCUUUUGCGCUUUCCAAAAACCUUGUGGGCUUUCCCCUUUGGCCCAAAUAACGUGUUCUCGUUCCCAAACAUUUCGCGAAACAUCCGGAACCCCUUCCGCUGAAUUCCGGAACUCUUCCGGAGAUCAAACACUAUUAUCCCAUAUAUCAAACUUUAUCUCCGGACCAUUCCGGAGUUCCUCGUCGUGUCCAUGAUCUCAUCCGGGACUCCAAACAACAUUCGGUUACCAACAUACAUAACUCAUAUAAUACUAUAUCGUCAACGAAACGUUAAGCGUGCGGACCCUACGGGUUCGAGAACUAUGUAGACAUGACCUAGAAUUUGUUUCCGGUCAAUAACCAAUAGCGGGACCUGGAUGCCCAUAUUGGCUCCCACAUAUUCUACGAAGAUCUUUAUCGGUCAAACCGCAUAACAACAUACGUUGUUCCCUUUGUCAUCGGUAUGUUACUUGCCCGAGAUUUGAUCGUCGGUAUCCAAUACCUAGUUCAAUCUUGUUACCGGCAAGUCUCUUUACUCGUUAUGUAAUACAUCAUUCCGUAACUAACUCAUUAGCUACACUGCUUGCAAGGCUUAUAGUGAUGUGCAUUACCGAGAGGGCCCAGAGAUACCUCUCCGACAAUCGGAGUGACAAAACCUAAUCUUGAAAUACGCCAACUCAACAUGUACCUUCGGAGACACCUGUAGUACUCCUUUAUAAUCACCCAGUUACGUUGUGACGUUUGGUAGUACCCAAAGUGUUCCUCCGGUAAACGGGAGUUGCAUAAUUCUCAUAGUUACAGGAACAUGUAUAAGUCAUGAAGAAAGCAAUAGCAGUAUACUAAACGAUCAAGUGCUAGGCUAACGGAAUGGGUCAUGUCAAUCACAUCAUUCUUCUAAUGAUGUGAUCCCACUAAUAAAAUGACAACACAUGUCUAUGGUUAGGAAACAUAACCAUCUUUGAUUAAUGAGCUAGUCAAGUAGAGGCAUACUAGUGACUAUAUGUUUGUCUAUGUAUUCACACAUGUAUCAUGUUUCCGAUUAAUACAAUUCUAGCAUGAAUAAUAAACAUUUAUCAUGAUAUAAGGAAAUAAAUAAUAACUUUAUUAUUGCCUCUAGGGCAUAUUUCCUUCAGUCUCCCACUUGCACUAGAGUCAAUAAUCUAGUUCACAUCAUCAUGUGAUUUAACACCAAUAUUCAUAUAUGUAUAUGAUUAACACCCAUAGUUCACAUCGUCAUGUGAUCAACACCCAAAGGGUUUACUAGAGUCAGUAAUCUAGUUCACAUUGCUAUGUGAUUAACACCCAAAGAGUACUAAGGUAUGAUCAUAUUUUGCUCGUGAGAGAAGUUUAGUCAACGGGUCUGACAUAUUACAGAGUCGUAUGUAUUUUGCAAAUAUUCUAUGUCUACAAUGCUUUGCACGGAGCUACUCUAGCUAAUUGCUCCCACUUUCAAUAUGUAUCCAGAUUGAGACUUAGAGUCAUCUGGAUUGGUGUAAAAGCUUUGCAUUGAUGUAACUCUUUACGACGAACUCAUUUAUCACCUCCAUAAUCAAGAAACAUAUCCUUAUUCUACUAAGGAUAAUUUUGACCAAUGUCCAGUGAUCUACUCCUAGAUCACUAUUGUACUCCCUUGCCAAACCAGGGCAGAGUAUACAAUAGGUCUGGUCCAUAGCAUGGCAUACUUUUAUAGAACCUAUGACUGAUGCAUAGGUAAUGACUUUCAUUCUCUUUCUAUUUUCUGCCGUGGUCGGGUCUUGAGUUUUACUCAAUUUCACACCUUUGCAACACAGGCAAGAACUCUUUCUUUGACUGUUCCAUUUUGAACUAUUUCAAAAUCUUGACAAGGUAUGUUCUUAUUGAAAAAAAAACUUAUCAAGCGUCUUGAUCUAUCUCAAUAGAACUUGAUGCUCAAUAUGUAAGCAGCUUCACCGAGGUCUUUCAUUGAAAAACCUUUUAUUCAAGUAUCCUUUUAUGCUAUCCAGAAAUUCUAUAUCAUUUCCAAUCAACAAUAUGUCUUGCACAUAUAAUAUCAGAAAUGCUACAGAGCCCUCACUCACUUUCUUGUAAAUACAGGCCUUUCCAAAAGUCUGUAUAAAACCAUAUGCUUUGAUCAACUCAUCAAAGCGUAUAUUCCAACUCCGAGAUGCUUGCACCAGUCCAUUGAUGGAUCGUUGGAGCUUGCACAUUUUGUUAGUACCUUUAGGAUUAACAAAACCUUCUGGUUGCAUCAUAUACAACUCUUCUUUAAUAAAUCCAUUAAAGAAUGUAGUUUUUGACAUCCAUUUGCCAGAUUUCAUAACAUGUGACAAUUGCUAACAUGAUUCGGACAGACUUAAGCAUCGCUACAGUUGAGAAAAUCUCAUUGUAGUCAACACCUUGAACUUAUCGAAAACCUUUUUGUGACAAGUCGAGCUUUGUAGAUAUGAACUCAAACAAGCAUGGCACAGUGUAACAAAAUGGAGAGCAUCUCACAAUGAACAUUUUGAUAUAUUACACGCAUAAAACGGAGCAAUAUGCACAGAGUUACAUUAUGAUGAAAAUGCCUAUAUGAUGCUGAUAAACAGGGACUUAGGCCAUUUUCAAAAACAACAUGGAUGAGCUCCAUUUAGUUAUCUCGCGCACAGGGUGGGGGUUAGGCGGGCUCGCUCACCUUGGGCCACUUGGGCCAGAGAGGGGGGAGAGGCGGAUCGGGCCAGCAUGGAGCAGGCUGGCGGGGACGGGCCGCGGGGCCCACAUGGCUGGCUGUGCGUGUGCCCGCACGCGGGAAUGACGACGGAGCUGCGGCGGCGAGGGAGCCCGACGAUGGCGGCGAAGAGAAGGCUGGGGCAGUGGGGAGCCGGCAGAUCCGGCCGCGGGGACGCGGGAUCCGGCCGGAUCCGGAGUAGGACGGGCGGCGGCGAGCACUAACGCCGAGGCACGGCGUGGGCUCCGGUGAGGAAGCGAGGCGGCGCGGUGGCAGGGCGAGGUCCGGCCGGGCGCUGCAGGGCGGCGCGGUGGUCGACGACGGUGGGACAGGGCAGCAGAGUCGCAAGGAGGUGCAGGCGCGCGGGNNNNNNNNNNNNNNNNNNNNNNNNNNNNNNNNNNNNNNNNNNNNNNNNNNNNNNNNNNNNNNNNNNNNNNNNNNNNNNNNNNNNNNNNNNNNNNNNNNNNNNNNNNNNNNNNNNNNNNNNNNNNNNNNNNNNNNNNNNNNNNNNNNNNNNNNNNNNNNNNNNNNNNNNNNNNNNNNNNNNNNNNNNNNNNNNNNNNNNNNNNNNNNNNNNNNNNNNNNNNNNNNNNNNNNNNNNNNNNNNNNNNNNNNNNNNNNNNNNNNNNNNNNNNNNNNNNNNNNNNNNNNNNNNNNNNNNNNNNNNNNNNNNNNNNNNNNNNNNNNNNNNNNNNNNNNNNNNNNNNNNNNNNNNNNNNNNNNNNNNNNNNNNNNNNNNNNNNNNNNNNNNNNNNNNNNNNNNNNNNNNNNNNNNNNNNNNNNNNNNNNNNNNNGCGCGGGCUCCGGCGAGCUUCGGCCGGCGGCGGCGCCCGGCGAGGUCGGGACUCCCUCCCGAUCCAGAUCGGAUUGAGGAGCGAAGCUGCGGGCGACUGGCGCGGGCGGGUGCCUGCGGGCACGGUCGGGGCCCGGUUCGGCACGGGGCGGGCCUGGCCUGGGCCUCGGUGGGCUGCGGCGGCGGGAGGCACUGGCUGGGACGCGUGGAGGCACAGGAGAGACCGGCAGUGUCGGCUGGUGGCAGCUGGCCACUCCGGUGGUGCCACUUGGCUGCGGAGGAGCGGCCCGGCGCGGAGUUUGAGGAGGGCGUCGGUGGCUGCAGGUGGGAAGGAGGCUGGUGGCAUGCGGAUUUCGAGGAGGGAGUUGUCUGCUACCAAAAAUGGACGAGGAGGCUUCCUUUUAUAGCUAGAGGCUAGGGUUUGAGGGGUUUUGCUCCGUCUUCGGGCAUCGGAUCUCGAUCCGAUGUUCCGGAGCGGAGGGGGGGUUUAGGUGGGUUGGAGGUGGGCUGUGCAGAAGGCCAUUGGAUGAGAAGAAAGGGAGGAUGGCAGCCCGGCAAGGGAUUUCGGAGACUGAAAACGUCCGACGAAGGUGCCGGCAGUGGUACCGCUAUAUGUUUAACGAUUGGGCUAUGAAACGAGCUCCAAAUGCGACAAAACUUGACAGGCGGUCUACCUACACCAGAAUAAGACCGCACGCCAACUUUCACCCCAUUCCGAGAACAUUUUUAUGCCACUCAUAACUAAUAUUUCGGAAGUGUCGCGGGCGCGUGCAAGUGUGUCUGGGCUUAGAACGUCCAAUGGAAAGAACUGGCGGAACCCGAACGGAUGCAAGUUUUAAAAAACAUGCAGAUGAAAUGCAGAUGAUGACAUGUCAAAAUGCAACACGCAAGCAAAUGACAUGGCAACAACGACGAGUAGCUGGGAGACACCUGGCGCAUCGAAUCCGGGGCAUUACAAAUCAUGAGAUUAUUCAUGCUAGAAACUUCCGUGUGCAGGCGCAAGCUACUAUGGGCUCUAGCAUAGUUGAUUAAGUCGUGUGAACUCUUACAGUUGUAGACUAGUAGAUUUAGGGGGAAGUAGGUGUAACUGUCUACCCAUCGUAAGGUGUAAAUGCUUCUGAAAGACUAUGUCUUGGUCAUCCGUUUCUCAAACACGUUGUAGUGCGAGAAUUCCAACGGAGGAGAUCGAGUCUUGUGGGGAAAAGUGCACAAACCUCUGCAGAGUGUACAAACUAAUCAUGAUUAGCCGUGUCCCUGGUUAUGGACAUCUUGAGUAUCUGGUACUUGAAUUAUUGAUUUGAUCUCAUCAUGUUACUUAAUUGAUUUGUUGGGUUGUUAACUUUUAAUUGGGAUUGAGUUGGGGUUUACCUUCUCAAUAUUUUCAAACAACUGUGUAGUUAAAUAAAAUUUAUUCCUUUGUAGUAGGGAAAAAUUGGCUUUUCGCAAAAACAUUAUAACCAUAGAGCUUUUCCACUAGGCAUAUAUGCAUGUGGUGAUAGCUAUUAUUCAUCAGUGCUCUAUGGUGUGAAUUUGCCAGUACAUUCAAUGUACUGACCUACAUGGCUGCAACGUCUCAUGUUGCAGGAAUCUUACGACGAGUAAGUGAUACGUUAGGGUUACAAUUUCUACACUCAACUUUGCCGUUGGUGUUGAUGGGAAUCCACAGCCUUGUUGUUACUUCCGCUAUAUGGAUUGAGGUAAUUGUAUUUACGUUACUUCGUACAUGUGAUUUACCUCUGUUAUAAAUCCUCGAGUACUGUGUGUGUCAGCAUACCGAUCCAGGGAUGACACUUAAGCACAGAUACUUGACCGUUUGUGGUCGGGUCGCUACAAGAUGGUAUCAGAGCACAUGUUGACUGUAGGAAGUGACCCGAGAAACUGGCAAGCCCAUAGGAAAAGAUUUUUCUCUAUAACUUUCUUUUCAAAAAGGAUCUUUUACCUCUCUUCUCUUCUGAGCUUAUUCAAAUAUUCCCUUUUAGAGAGACUAUACCCCUUUCCCCCUUUUGACCACAUGAAGAUUCGGCUGAUGAGACCACACCAAGGAGUACAAGAUAUCAGACAACUAAGACCACUUCGGAAUGAAGAGGAUUUUACCGUGCAUUAUAAUGAUGGAAACUACAACGUUUGAAGACUCCAAAGAAUAGGAGAAUUUAAAGGCUCUGAAGAAUUUCCAGAUUGGUAUGACCUAGGAAGGUUACCCUUAUGGAACUUGGCAGACUAUGGAAAGCUGUCAAUACCCGAGAUCAAGGUGUAUCGGAGAAAGACCAAAACAUGGAGCAGUAGAACUCAAGGUUUUGUCAAGAAAACCCCAAGACAUGAGAUAUCAACUAUGGAAUGAUAGCUCAUGGCACAAACAUGGGCAUAAACACGGAUAUCCAUGAUGCUAUCGCUCGCUUAUGCUAUUGUCACCGUGUGGAGUUAAGCAUGAAGAUGCAUGGAAGGAUUCGAUGGUAGAAGGCUGAUGGAGCAUCUGUCAACAAAGGAUGCAGUUUUAACCUUAGUUGGUGUAUCGCCAGGAUAUGGAGAAUUACAUGAAGAAUUUUAGAGGGACCUUUAGGAAGUCAUAUUUGACAAGGAGGCAAUUCGUGAAGAACUCAGGACCCAGAAGCUGAAAGCAGCCAAGCUGGAGGAGCAAAACAUCGAGAUACCGGAGAUUCGUCAGGAACUGAAGGACUGUAGGACCAUGGUUCAUGCCAAGGAUGUUGAAACCCAGAAGUUUGGAACGCAACUCCAGAAUAUUAAAGGAUGUCACUAGAGACUUCGCGUCUACAGAGAUCUGGCAGAGUAACUUGAGAAGGACAAGCAUGAUCGGAAGAUGCCAUCGGAGACAUGGACAAGAAGAGUUUGGCGACUUUGAAGAUUUAUUGACCUUUAGAAGACCAAACCCCUGUUAUAUACCUAUGUUGGAUCCAACGUUUGUGAGCUGUCAUUUGUUUGAUGUUUUUCCGACAGCCACAAAUAAAAUCAGUCCUUUCAAAACUAUUGUUUGUAUUGUGUGUAUCCCUCCCUCUCUAUCCCUCUGAAUCUCACCCCAAAACCCUUGGAUCCCAAAAGAUGACGAAUGGAGAUGGACGAGUAUUUCCGAGAUUCAUGACACAACCGGAGAUAGCACACUGGAUACGGAACAUGGAAUAUCGCAUGAAGGAGCAUGGUAUUGAAGGAGAGUAUAUGAUUCCAUACACCCUACAAAAGAUCACACAAGGUGCUGCAAAAUGGCGAGAGAUACAUCAAGCCAUACAAGGAUGGAAUGGAACCAAUGCUUGGGAUGAAUUUAAGACGAUUCUACUGAGGUCCCGUCUUACCCGAAAGCCAUGUGAACCUAAGGAAAAGAAGCCUUGUGCAUGUAAGAUUUGUGGAGAAAUGGGACACACCCAUAAAGGACACAAGGAUGAAUGCCCAAAUUGUGAAGGAAGUCACCCAGCUGAAGAAUGCCCAACUAGGCAGAUCACUUAUUUCUUGUGUGAAGGGACUACCCACUACCCUGCUCAGUGUCACAUUUACCCCAUGGUACAAAGAACCGUCCAGCAGAAGAAGGAAGCAUUGAAAGGAGCCCUCCUGGAAACUUUAGAAGAACUUGUGAUAAAGGAAGAGGUGGAGGACACACCCGAUGGAGAUCCAGUUAAACCUUGCACCAAGUCUUGCUAUUCGUGUGGAGAAGAAGGAAACUUUUCCCAAAAUUGUCUGAAUGGGGAUCUAGUACAAUACCCGACAGAGGAAGUAGAGUAUGACCCAUAGGAAAUACAAGCCCUGAUUGGAACAGAAAAGUCCUGGAAGAGAAAUAGAUUGGAUUCCAGGAACAACCCAAUUUCUGCAGAGAAGGAACUGAGUCAUAUCACUUGUUAUAGGUGCAAGGAUUUAGGUCGUUACGCCUAUAAAUGUCCAAAGAAAAAAAUACACCAAUAAAUGUCGAAAGAGGAAGCCAAGAGCCCAAAGGGCGGACACCAUCCCCAAGAAGCCUAAAGACUUAUCGGAAGUUAUUUGUUUAUGCUGCAGGGAAACAGGACACCAUGUUAAUAAAUGUCAUGACAAGAUGAAAGCUGGAGCUAAGUAGUUGAGAAUUUAAUAUUGAUAAUAAGUGUAGUAGAAAGCAUAUUUUUUUAUUCUUGGGGGAUAUGGAGUGAGUUAUGGAAUGGAAGUUUGGGAUAUUGUAAUGAAUUCAUGAAAUCAAUAAAGUUCUUGUGUCAUGAUUUCAUACACUGAAUCUUUAUGAGUUGUUACUCUAUGAAGAAAGGUUUUGACCAUUUUCGAGGAUAUGAGAAAUAUGGUCUAUGGAUGAAAUUGUACAUUUUAAGGGUGGUAGUACCCUUUGAGGACUUUUGAGCCCUGGGAAAAGAUCACAAUGUUCCAUGAAGUGGACUAUGGAAAAUAUAAGUACGAGUUUUGUCUCGAUAUGUGGGAUACCCCAAGAAUAUGAAGGGAUGAAAGUACUAUUGGAUAUGGAGGUAUAAUGUUGGUAAUAUGGAGCAAGUGUAACUCCAUGGUGAGUUUGAGUAAUCACAUCGUAGUGUGAUACCAAUAGAAGGAAGGAAGGAAGAAAGUGCAAUUGGAUGUAUUCAAGAAUACUAGGAAGUUGGAUGUUGGGAUAAUGAUCAGUUGCCCCAAGAAUGAGUUCAAGGUUUGCAAGUGAUGAGAUGGGCCAUAAUCCACAGGCCCUAGGACCUGCCAAGAAGCAAGCGCACUCUUGCGGAAGGAAAAACCCUGGAAGAGGAUAUGCCUUUAUCAACCAAUGAUUUUAUAGGAGCAACACAAAACCUGAGAGUUGUGAAGGAACGGUAGUUGUUUGCCUGGCUUGCAGAAUCCAUGGAUUAUCCGAACUUGGUUCGUGGACAAGAGAAAUUCUGCAAUUCUUGUGAGGAUGACGAGUGUUAGAAUGCGAGAUUCGCUAAACCAUAUACAAGGUAAUGAUUUGGGUGCGGGGUGGAUUGAUCACCAUACCGACUUACUCUUAUUAUUCGUCUUGCUGUACGGGAUGGUAAAUCUGGGUGACUUACCCAUAGUAGAGAGACGAUGAUCAAAACCUUGUUGAACCUUAGAAUGGUAUGACAAUUAUUCCCCUUGUACAAGGCAGUUGUUCCCAAACGUAGGUCAUACGGUGAGGUUCAACCCAGACCCAUUUCCUGCAAGAGAAACCAUAAAUUGAUGACCACCAUGAGAUAUCGAUAGUUGUUUAGUAUAGGCGCCAAACCCGUCAGCUAAGAAGACCAGUCAUGGAAUAACCUUACCAAGAUCAAAUGGACACAAGAAUUAAGGAAAAGGUUAUGCCACCACAGGAAAAGCCCAGAGAAGGAAUUAUCCUGAAGAUCUGCGAAGACCGACACUGUCAAAAUAAGGAUGAAGUAUAUGAGUUUUGAUGGAACCGUAACCAUGUUUCUAAGGGUGGUAGCACCCCAGACCCCCUGUGACGAUCGAUGGAUUUUGAGAAGACCCCGACCCUAACCUAUUUCUUUCUAGCCUCUCCGAAUCUCGAGGACGAGAUUCAUUUUAAGGGUGGUAGGUUUGUAACAUCCCAAAAUUCUAAAUUUUGGAAUGUUAUAUUAAAUAGAUAGUUUUGAUUGAUUGUUUGAUUUCUUGAGUGAAAUUGAGUCAAAUUUGAAACUUGUUGAAAGUUAAAUGAGAGGGAAUAAAAGGACUUUCCCAAACUUUCAUCUUGCUUUUAUGGUCUCCAUGAAUCCAAAUCCUUUUUCAAAUACAAACCCUGGAGUGAAGAUAAUACAACUUCUUCCAUUUAAAUAAAUGAAAAAGGGUUUUGAAAUGAUUUGAAUUUCAUUCGGAAAUAUUGGCAAUUCAUAAACUUCAUGCAACUCAAUGAUUUUCAUGAGAGAAGAUAAAAUGACUUCUUCAAAACAUAUGAAAUAUGAGUUGGGAGUUUCGAAGAAAUCCAAUUUAAAGUCCCUUUGAAAAUUAUUUUCAAUUUGGACUUAUUUGGGUUUUAUUCAAAUUAUUUUUCUCCAAAAAUAAAAUAUUUGGAAAUUAGGGUAAAAUGAUUCCCUACAUUAGAAAAUUGGAGAGAAAUAAAAUUGAAUUAAUUUUGGUAGUUUUAAAAUGAUUUUUAUUGGAUUUUAUUAGAGCAAUAGCACUCUUUGCUUUAUUUGAAUUAUUAAGGAUUUUAUUUGAUGUUAGAAUAAUGUUCAUGCAGUAGGAAAUAAUUUUCUGGAAAUUUUGAUAUAUUAUAUGCCUAUAGUAUGUUUUUAUUUUCUAUAGUUUAUUUUAUUUUUGUUGUCCGCAAAAUGUUAAAAAAAACUUUCUCUCCGCCCGCUGGGCCGGCCCAGCCGAAGCCAGGCCAAGGCCCAGCUCCGCGUAGCCUCGCCUGUCGUCCCCGACCGGGACUCCUCCCGAGUCCGCUGCCGUGCCGCUAUGGACGCCGUGCCGCCUCUGGCCUCCUCUUGCACCCUCCACGCCACCCCUCCCCUCGCCCUUUAAAAGGCUGACCCCACCAUCCUCGCCUUCUCCUCCCCUCAACAGCCGCCGCCACCCUCGCAUCUCGCGCCUCGCCACCGCCGGUGAGAUUCGCCGCCCGCUCCACUCCGUGGCCAACGACCACCGUCGUCGCCACCACUGCACCUGCCGCCCAGCGCCGCCUCUCCCCGACCACUUCGCCGGCCUCGAAGACCGCCGGAGCUGCCGCCCCGUCUCGCUGGAGUCCGCCGCCUCGCCGGAACUGCCAGAUCCGCUGCUCGACCCGCCGAUUUUCCCGGUCCGGUAAUAAACUGCCCCGGUUCUCCGGUUUUCUUUUCGGUUUUCGUUUUAAAACCCGUUUUGUUUUUUUAACUAGCGGACGUUUUCUGUUUAUUUAGUUUUAGUGAACAACUUCGUUCUGUAGAUAUUUUUGAGCAAACGUUCGUUCGGUAGAGUUUUUCUUUUUAUUUUAGUUUUCGGUGAGGGACUUCUUUGUAGAUAUUUUAUUUAUAGAUUAGUCAUUAAUCUUUAAACCCUCACCACUUUUUGCUCGUUAGUCGGAAUUAGACGAAACCAACGCCUACUUCUUCGUUAUGAUGCCCUCUAUCCAAAUAAUCAACUUAAACAUGUUUUUUGAAGGUUUAAAAUUUGUAUUUCAAAUAGUUUAGUAUUUGAACUUCGUUUGAUCGUAACUCGAGUUCUAUAACUCCGUUUGAGUUGAUUCUUUUUGCAAAUUGAAGCUCUUGACCAAAUUCACAUAGUUUUGGUACUGCUAGAAAUUGUUUUAUGCUGCAAGAGUUAUUUUCUUGGUUUUGAUGUUUUCCUAUUUGUUUUCUUCGUUCUCUCUGAUCCUUUGAGUGAUUGCUUAUGUGUGGUUACUAUUGCUUGCUUACGAUAGAUUGAACGGAGUGAGACGAAUAGAACUAUCAGGAGUUGAGUGUGAAUCAUCUUCAUCAACAGUACAGGUGAAAGGAUCGAUAUAAUUGACUAGAGGGGGGUGAAUAGGCAACUAACACUUUUUAGACUUUUCUUUACCAAUUUAAACUUAGCAUCAAAGUAGGUUGUCUAGAAAUGCAACUAAGUGAGCAACCUAUAUGAUGCAAUAACAACUAGAACAAAGGCAAACAAGAGAUACAACACAAAUAAUCUUGCACAAGUAAAAGCACGACAUAACCAAGAGUGGAGCCGGUGGAGACGAGGAUGUGUUACCGAAGUUCCUUCCUUUUGAGGGGAUGUAUGUCUCCGUUAGAGCGGUGUGGAGGCACAAUGCUCCCCAAGAAGCCACUAGGGCCACCGUAAUCUCCUCACGCCCUCACAUAAUGCGAGAUGCCGUGAUUCCCCUAUUGGUGCCCUUGAAGGCGGCAACCGAACCUUUACAAACAAGAUUGGGGCAAUCUCCACAACUUAAUUGGAGGCUCCCAUCAACACCACGAAGCUUCACCACAAUGGACUAUGGCUCCGAGGUGAGCUCAACCGUCUAGGGUGCUCAAACACCCAAGAGUAACAAGAUCCGCUAGGGAUUAGUGGCGGGAAUCAAAUUUCUCUUGGUGGAAGUGUAGAUUGGGGCCUCUUCAACCAAUCCCGAGCAAAUCAACAAGUUCGAUUGGCUAGGGAGAGAGAUCGGGCAAAAAUAGAGGUUGGAGCAACAAUGGAGCUUAGGGAUGGAAGAGAUAGUCAACUAGAGGUAGGAGACACCCCUUUUAUAGUGGUGGACAAUAUCCAACUGUUAUCCACUAAUCCAGCCUGCGACAUGCGGUACUACCGCUCCAGGAAUGCGGUACUACCGCAAGGCCACGCGGUACUACCGUGAGGGACCAUGGUACUACCGCGGCAGCUGCAGAGACUAGAACAUGCCCGACUGAGAGCAGUACUACCGCGAGCGCGGUACUACCGCUCCCCCUAGCGGUACUACCGCGAGGCAGGAAAGUCCUAGCCUAUGAAGGGCACGGAUGAAUAAAAAUACAUCUGUGCUUACUUCCGCUGGAAACGAAGCGAUGCAAACAUCCGUCAUGGUACUACCAUGCUCGAGGAGCGGUACUACCGUGGGGGCGCGGAUGUAAAAAAUUACAUCCGCCCCUACUACCGCGAAGCAGCGGCACUUGUCCUGGGAACCACGGUACUACGGCUCCAGAGGAGCGGUACUACUGUGGGCUCCCGCGGUACUACCGUGCACGACGUGCGGUACUACCGUGCAGGCGCGGAUGUAAAAAAUUACAUCUGCCCCUACUACCGCGAAGCAGCGGUACUUGGCCAGGGAGCCACGGUACUACGACUCCAGAGGAGCGGUACUACUGUGGGCUCCCACAGUACUACCGCGCAGUGGCACGGUACUACCGCAAGUGCUUGCGGUACUACCGCUCCAGGGAGCAGUACUACCGCAAGCUCAGCAACAGCAGUCAGGACAUUCGCAUAGAGGAUAAACAGGGGAUGCUCCAAAGAGCAAGGGAAAGGUGGAGACAAGGAAGGAAACGUGUAUGUGAUGAUUCCACCCGAACCUUUCCGACGUGGACCCCCUCUUAAUAGUACGGCUCUCCUACGACUCAAAUCCACCAAAAAGAAACGUAGAAAAAUGUUGUCUUCAAUAGUCUUCGAGGGGCACCGAACCGUCUUGUGCCUAGUGAUGAAGCAUCUGAGAAACUCAAGGCACAUGAUUAGUCCGCAAAAGCAUUGUCAUCAAUCACCAAAACACUUAAGGAUAAAUAUGUCCUUACAAUCUCCCCCUUUUUGGUGGAUUGAUGACAAUACGGGAUUUGCACAAGGGGAAAAAAUAUUGAGCAGAGGCAAACCCCUCCUCUCUAAAAUAUAGACGGGCUCCCCCUAGAUGUGUGCAAUCUAGAUGGAUGCUUUGGACUACACAGCACACAAGCUAGCAUCAACACUCCCCCUAUAUUUUAGAGAUAAGGCAUGAUCUUGCAAAGGUAGGACUAACAACUAAGCAAGAGCAUAAACAAUAGUAGCACAAUAUAUCACAAGCUCACCAAGAUAGGUAGAGUGCAUAUGUCUUACAUCAUAUGAAGGUCAAACCAAACCGAAGCAACCGAAACAACUGAAACGAGGUCCAAACGAGACAUGCAAACACAUCGAACACGACACAUGACUCGCAAAUCCCUACACUCUCUCCCCCUUUGGCAUCGAGACGCCAAAAAGGCAGAGAGGACACCUACACACAAGGGGUGGCUCAAGCAGAGAAAUCAUCCCAACGAUCCUCGUCAGACCCGGCGGCAGGAAUGGUCUCCUCGACGUCCUCCUCAGAAUCAGUCCACUUGUAGCCUUGUUUCUCCAUCCACUCGGCCUCUAGAGUGAUUUGAUCCUCAGACCCGCCAGACACGUCCUCUCCAUACAGCUUCAAGAUCUUCUUGUCGCGGCGGCGACUCUCCUUGGAUGCCACGUGAGUCCUGUACUGCCCCUUAGCUUGCAUGCAGAAAACAGUCUUCACCUUGUCCUUCAGCUUCUUGGCCCACGAGGGCACAUAGGAACUAUGGGAAGACCCAGCAGCACGGUCAUCAGCAACAUCCUCUGCUCCAGCCUCAUCCUCAUCAAUAGCCCCCCUAGCAGCAGACGCCUCAGCACGAGUAGUAGUGUUGGCCCAGUUGGGCUUGACACGGAGACUGAUGGGAUCAUGUCGAAUCCAGUCAGGAGCAAGGAACUCAUUACCAGGGUACUGCUUCGCCCAAGUCUUGGAGAUCAACAGAAACAGGUAUGGUCCAUAGAUAGGCACCUUGCGGUUGAACACCACAAACCGAAGCUCACACCACAUGAUGUGUGAGACAUCAAGUGGCUGAGUCUGAGACACGCGUGCCUCCUCGCACAGGAGCAUCAUAUCCACCAUAUAGGCAUGAACCUUGUCCUUGUCACCAAUGCGAGGGAACAGAGAGUUGCGGAAGAUGUGAUACAUAAUAUCCAGAAAUGAGUUGAGCACCCACGCCGACUUGCUAUUGGCAAGCACCUUCUCAACAUAGAAUGGCUGAAGCUUGUCCUUGUUAGCAGACUCAGAAUUGGCAUGGGGGCGAACACCCACGGGUGAGUUGAGCCCGUCAUCGGGAACCUGGAGCAGAUCCAUGAACUCCUUCCAGGUAGCAGUCAACUGACGACCAUUGGUCAUCCAGGUCAUCCUCCGCUCCUCCCCAGGGUGAAAGAAAACUGAGGCAAAGAACUGACAGAUAAGCUCAGGGUCAUAGUCAAGAUGGAAAGAGAUCACAUGUUCAAUAUCAAACUGCUCCACCAAAUCCAGAGCUUCUCCAAAGUACUCAUGAUACUUGUCCUUCCUCAGGUGAUGCAUGUCUAUCCACUUGACAUCCACGUAGGUAUUUUUCUUGUUCUUGAUGACAUCCAGAUAAGUGAGAGUCUGUUGCUUGGUCCAAAACAACUGACAGCCUCUGACGGUAGCACGAGGAUUCACAUACGGGUUGAUCUGCCUGAGACGGAUAAACUCAGAUUGGGGAAUCUCGUCCAUGCCCUUAGCGGGUUCCUUGUGCUUGCUAGCGGUGGUCUUGACAUGGCGCUUGGGGGCAUUGGAGCCCUCUGUUGCUUCACCUUGAUUGCGCGGACGCUUGGAGCCAGUGUCACGAUUGGGAUUGGAACGGCGAGAGCCACCACCUGAGACAGAAAAUGCAAAACACCCACGACAAGCAAGAAGGAUCAAUGCAAAGACCACGACAACGCGAAAGAAACACGAAGAAAGCAUACGUGGUAAUUUCCAUGUGAUAGAAUGGGCCCAACGGUAGUACUGCCUGGUGCUGCGGUACUAAAAUUUUAGUACCGCUCCUAGUCGCGGUAGUACCAUGUGAAGUCAUGGUAGUACCGGGGCUGGGAGCGGUAGUAAGAUUCUAGUGCCGCAUCUCAUGCGGUAGUGCCGCACUGGACGAGCGAUAGUACCGGUAGAGCGGUAAUACCGCACAUGCAGCGUAGUAGUACCGCACCACGUCAGAUCCAAAACCAAACUUUGAAUCUGAGAUGAACCGCGAAACCACGGCGGUACUACGGUUGAUCAACUCUAUCUCAUGACAACAUAUCAGGUAUAAUCCCUACGCAAUACUACUCUCCUACAUCCUACUCUUGCAAAGACUUAGCCUAAAGUCUCAAGAACAAAUGCAUCUCCCCAAAAACCUAGAGGCAAAGAAAACAACCAAAAGAGAGAGGGAUUUGGGGAAGGAGCUUGUUCCAUGGCAAGAGCACGUGGUGGGGAACGAUCCCACCGGACGGAAUCACAGGAGAGCAGCCGGAGGCGGAGAUCCGGCGAGGGACUCCGGCCCCGUUCUUGAGUGAGAGAGAGAGGGAGAGAGACGAAGUGGGGAAAACAGACGAAUGGGUAUGGGGGAGUUAGAACUCCCCCUGCCCGUCCUUAUCCCUAAGCGUCUGCGACAGCGUGGUAGUACCGCAUAUCAUCGCGGUAGUACCGCUUGGGUUGAAGUACCGCACCAAAGCGGUAGUACCGCUCUCCCAGGCGGCAGUAAAAAAUUACUGCCAUGUUGGGGCGGUAGUACCGUGCUCUCCACGCGCGGUAGUAUCGUAGCAGGCUGCGGUAGUCCCGUGAGCUCAAGAAAAGCAGGUUUCAAACACACGAAAAGGAGGUCUUCGCAAGGAAACUUCAGACAUAAGAGACACUACAAGAGCACGCUCAACACAGAGGCAGAAAGGCAAACGACAACCAGAAGCAACCACGCGACACCACCUCUCAAAAAGGAGAGGGCGGUGGCCGGAUCCACCUAUGUUUGAGUCAAUUAGUAUGGCACCGCGAAGAAUUAUCCUUGGGCCCAUGACCAACACUCGUCUUUGAAGCACAAACACCAUCAAAAAUGGCUAAUGUGAAAGAGUUGAUCGAUUUAUGCAUAAUGGGGGAGGGAGAGUUCAUUGAGAGAAUGGCACUCCCCCUAUGUCCAUGCCUACACCUAAACUAGACAACAAGUUGAGUGAGGUGGGGUGUGCACGGGCUCAAGUCACAUUGCUCGAAUCAAUGAUAUUUAGCUCAUGCCUUAACUCGCGAAAUCUUGGUUCAUCCAAGGGCUUCGCGAAAAUAUCUGCAAGGUUAUCAUGAGUGUUAACAUACUUGAGCUUGAUCUCUCCUCGCCUAAUAUGUUACCGGAUGAAGUGAUACCGAAUCUCAAUGUGCUUCAUCUUGAAGUAUUGCACCGGGUUGAGAGAAACCUUGAUGGCACUUUCAUUAUCACACCAAAUAGGCACUUUGUCACAAAUGACAUCAUAUUCCUUUAAAGUUUGCCUCAUCCAUAGGAGUUGUGCACAACAACUACCGGACGCCACAUAUUCCGCUUCGGUGGACGAGAGAGACACACAACUUUGCUUCUUGGAAGACCAGCUCACCAAAGAGCAACCAAGAAAUUGGCACCCUCCAGAAGUGGACUUCCUAUCCACUUUGUCUCCUGCCCAAUCGGAAUCCGUAAAUACUUCAAGCUUGAAGUUUGCUCCUCUUGGGUACCAUAGGCCAAAGUUUGGGGUAUGAGCCAAAUAUCGAAAGAUUCACUUGACCGCCACAUAGUGGCUUUCCUUCGGUGCGGCUUGAAACCGUGCACACAUUCCCACACUCAACAUGAUAUCCGGUCUAGAUGCACAAAGGUAAAGCAAGGAUCCAAUCAUAGAGCGAUAUACCUUUUGAUCCACCGCUUUACCAUUGGGAUCAAUGUCAAGUUGGCACUUGGUAGGCAUUGGAGUAGAAGCCGGCUUGACAUCACUUAGCUUGAAUCUCUUUAGCAUGUCUUGAGUGUAUUUGGCUUGGUUGAUGAAGGUACCUUCUCUUCUUUGUUUGAUAUCAAAACCAAGGAAGAACUUUAACUCUCCCAUCGAAGACAUCUUGAACUUAGAGGUCAUGAGAUCGGCAAAUUCCUCAUUGAAAUCUUUGUUAGGGGAACCAAAGAUAAUGUCAUCAACACAUAGUUGGCACACAAACAACUCCCCGUUGACCUUCUUAGUAAAAAGAGUGGGAUCGAUUUGCCCAACUUCAAAUCCACGAUCUUGUAACAACUCGGUAAGGUGGUCAUACCACGCACGUGGGGCUUGUUUAAGGCCAUAGAGUGCCUUAUUGAGUUGAUACACAUGAUCUAGGAAGUAAGGAUCCUCAAACCCGGGGGGUUGCUUGACAUAAACCAACUCAUUAAUAGGACCAUUAAGAAAAGCACUUUUCACAUCCAUUUGUUGUAACUUAAAGUUGUGAUGGGAAGCAUAAGCAAUCAACAAACAAAUGGAUUCAAGGCGAGCAACGGGAGCAAAGGUUUCACCGUAGUCGAUACCCUCGACUUGGGAGUAGCCUUGUGCUACCAAUCUUGCCUUGUUGCGAAUGAUGUUCCCAUGAGCGUCUUGCUUGUUCUUGAAAAUCCACUUGGUUCCAAUGACGUUAUGGUUCCCCGACGACCGUGGCAUCAAUCUCCACACCUUGUUGUACUCGAAGUUGUUCAGUUCUUCAUGCAUGUCAUUAAGCCAAUAUGAAUCUUCGAGCACCUCAUAGACCUUUUGGGGUUCAACACAAGAGACAAAUGCGUGAUAUUCACAAUAGUUUUCUAAUUGUCUACGAGUGCUUACCCCCUUUCUUAGGCUUCCAACCACAUUCACCAUGAGAUGGCCUUUGGUGGUGAGCUUGGAAGCAAUCUUUGCGGAAGGACGCUCUAAUUCCUCCUCGGAUGUGGAAGGAGGAGGAUCAACUUGAUUAUCUUGAGCACCGUCUUGAGCUUGUUCGAGAUCUUGAGCUUGCUCUUGAUCUUGAACUUGCUCGAGGGGGAGAACUUGACCUUGGGCAUCAUUUGGUGAUUCACCACCAUCUUGAGGUUGAUCUUGCCCUUGGUCUUGUUCAAGAGGGUGAGGGCCUUCACUUUGUUCUUCGGAAGCGUGUGGGUCUUGGGGAGGUGAUGGCUCCUCUUGAGUGGAGCAUUGUCCUUCUCCUUCGGCCACAAGGGGUUCCUCAAUGGGUAGAAUAUGACCAAUACCCAUUCUUCUUAUGGCUUGGGGAGGAAUUUCAUCACCUACAUCACAAGUACCACUUUGCUCCACUUGGGAGCCGUUAUUUUCGUCAAACUCCAUGUUACACGUCUCCUCAAUGAGUUCGGUGGACUUGUUGAGGACACGGUAAGCAUGAGAGUUUGUAGCAUAACCAACAAAUAUGCUCUCAUAAGCUCUAGCCUCAAAUUUAGACAAACGAACAUCUUUCUUGAGAAUGAAACAUUUACACCCGAACACCCGGAAGUACUUGAGGUUGGGCUUGUUACCGGUGAGUAUUUCAUAAGGAGUCUUGUUCAAGCCUUUGCGGAGAUAGAGCCGAUUUGAUGCAUGACACGUGGUGUUGAUGGCUUCGGCCCAAAAGUUGUAUGGAGACUUGAACUCCGCCAUCAUGGUCCUUGCCGCAUCCAUCAACGUCCGGUUCUUCCUCUCCGCAACACCAUUUUGUUGAGGGGUGUAUGGAGCGGAAUAUUGAUGCUUGAUCCCCUCAUCACUAAGGAACUCAUCCAAGGUGUAGUUCUUGAACUCGGUGCCGUUGUCACUUUUUAUUGUCAAGAUCUUUGCAUCAUGUUGUCGUUGAGCUUCAUUUGCAAAGUCGAUGAUGGUUUGUUGAGUUUCACUCUUCCUCUUGAAGAAAUAUACCCACGUGUAUCUUGAAUAAUCAUCCACAAUCACCAAGCAAUACUUUCUUCCCCCAAGACUAUCAAAGGAUGGAGGCCCAAAGAGGUCCAUGUGAAGGAGCUCCAAGGUUCUCUUCGAGUAGAUGAUAGUCGUUGGAGGGUGAGCCUUCUCAUGAAGCUUUCCUUCGAUACAAGCACUGCAAGCAUGAUCUUUGGCAAAACUAACAUUUGUUAGUCCAUGGACAUGGUCCCCCUUGAGAAGACUUUGCAAAGAUCUCAUAUUGACGUGGGCUAAACGGCGAUGCCAAAGCCAUCCCACAUCAACUUUAGCCAUUAGGCAUGUCGCGGUCUUAGUGGGUCGCUCCGAAAAGUUAAUCACAUAGAGACCGUUAUCGACAUUCCCAACAAAGGCUACUUUAAGAGUCUUGCUCCACAAGAGGGCCACGGUAUCAAUAUCAAAGAAGGUGGCAAAGCCCAUGAGUGCAAGUUGACGAACGUAAAGUAAGUUGUACACAAGGGACUCCACAAGCAUGACUUUCUCGAUCGUUAGAUCAUGAGAAAUGACAACCUUGCCAAGACCCAAUACCUUAGAAUGUGAGGCAUCACCCACUCGACAUUGGUGGGCAUAGAUGGGAUCUUUUGCACGUCCACCACCAAGUCCUUGCUCCCGGUCAUAUGAUUUGUUGCUCCACUAUCGAGCAACCAUGAUCCCCCACCGGAAGCAAACACCUACAAGAGAUCAAUGCUUGGUUUUAGGUACCCAUUUAGUAAUGGGUCCUUUGAUGUUAGUAACAAGGGUCUUAGGAACCCAAAUAGACCAUUCAAUGUACUCAUAAGAAGAACCAACAAAUUUAGCAUAAACAUGCCCAUCACUAGCAUGGCACAACACAUAAGAAGGGUUAAAGUCGCCGGCUUUGUUGGAAGAGAUGGCUUUGCCCUUUUUGGCAUCACCACUCUUCGCAUUGUUCUUCUUCUCCUUGGGAGCACCCUCUCCCUCCUUCACAAAAGUUUUCUUAAGAGGGGGAGGUCGUUUGGUCUUGUCAUUCUUCUUCUCGUUCUUCUUCUUAUUCUUGGACUUGGGGGAGAACCCAACUCCGUCCUUGGCCAUAGCUUCCUUUUGAUUGCUCAAAAGGUCAUUUAGGUUCCUCUCACCUUGUAUGCAUGACACAAGGCCUCUCUCAAGUUGUUCCUUCAACUUGGCAUUCUCCUCCACAAGAUGCACAUGCUCACAACACGGGUUAGUAGCAUUUGUGUUAUCAAUUAAGACCAUGUGAGGAAAUGUGGCAUUUUCCUUGGUUAGCUUAACUUGGAGUUGAGCAUGAGACUCCUUGAGGUUAGCAUGAGCACCCUUCAAGACCUUGUGGGCCUUGUCAAGUACAUCAAACUCCUCCUUGAGUCUAGCAUGAUCAACCCCAAGUUUAGCCUUCUCGAAAGUUAGCACACGAGACACAACAAGAGCAUGAUCAAUAUCUUUCUUUAACUUGGCAUGGUCAUAAUUUUGUGACUCCUCAAGAGCCAAACGAUGUCCACGCUCUUCCUCAAGAGCAUUAGAGAGAUCUGAUAUCUCAUCGGCAUAGUCAUGACUAUGACCUUCCAUCUUAGAGAUGGUUUCUCCGUGAGCCUCGAUCAUGUCAUUGGCUUCACCAAGUUGUUCCAUGAGAGCAACAAAGUGUUUCUUGGAUUUUCCCUUGACACUAGUGCAGAACCGGGCAAUAGCACCGGUUCGUAAGGCCCUUUAGUGCCGGUUCCAUAACCGGCACUAAAGUGUGGUCACUAAAGCCCCCCCCCCUUUAGUACCGGUGCUAAAGGGAAACCACGUGGCACGAGCCAGCUCCGGGGGCCUGGAGCCCUUUAGUACCGGUUGGUAACACCAACCGGUACUAUAAGGUUUGGGGGUUUUUAGUUUUAUGAUUUCUUUUUCAUGUAAUUUUGUGUUUCCAUUUUAAUUCUUUUUCGUUUGCUGGUAUUUUACGAUACUACACAUUGUAAACGUUAUGCAUAUAUAUAUAUAAAUAGAAUUUCUAGUAGAACCAAUCAUCGAGUUCAACAUGAUUGUCAUGAUAUUAUAAGCGUUCAUAUAUAACACCACAAAAGCAAAUCACUUAAGUUCAGAACGAAGAACACGGACAUGAAAGGCCAAGUACUAAUUAAGAGCAGCAUGAAGAACUAGCUAAAUCACUCCUGCUAGCUACUCUCUCUCUCUGGUAAAAUAGCAUAGAACAUGUAUAGCUCUCCUGAUUGAUCAUACUGGAGCAUGCCGAUGAACCUGUCUCCUAAUCGUGGGUUGCGCUUCUCAUUGCUGCCCCCUAGUACUUCUCUGCGAUCAUUAACAAUUUUCCUCCAAUCUUUCACUAUUAAGCAUUCAUCGCUUCUAGAAAUCCUGAAUGCAUUCAUGUGCAAUGCAGGAUAACUUGGCCUUAAGCUAACAAUUGACAUCUGACCUUUAGUCUCGAUCCCCUGAGGCACAACUGUCAUCGGGAGUCCCUGUUGAAGAACAUCGUAUAGUACUUAAUUAAUAUACUCAGCAAUGAAAGUUUAAAAAAAUAUGUAUGCAAAAUAUGCACUGAGGACAAAUAGUAAAUAUCUUACCAUCAUUCCUAAAUAGAUGUGACCGUAGUUCAAUACCAUCACUAUUGGUCGCACGUUUUGAGUACUAACAUUUCCAAGUGCAGGAAAAAAUUUGUCUUGACAGUAUGAAGAUCCUCAAGCCAUGAAACAUAAUGACUUAUCUCCUCGCAGUUUAGUUCAGCUCCGGGACAGUAGAAGGUCCUGUCUACCAAGCGCCGGACAUGUUUGGUUGAAUGGAGAUAAGCUGUCAAUAGAAAUUAGUUGUCAGUUAUUUUUGAAAUAAGCAAUAUUAAAGACAAAAAUAUAUUUGAGAAGAACUCACAUAAUGGUAGAACUGGAGGCGUCUGCACAUCGACACAUAUGUCUCUAUUACCUUCAAUAUCAUCUUCCGGACGAAUAUCAAAGGUGAUAACCAUACCAGGCUCAAAUGCAUAAGCCUUGCAUAGUGCUUGCCAAGUUUUGCAUUCAAAAUAGGUGUACGUGUGUGCAUUGUAUACUUUGACGUUGAAAGUAUAACCAUCAUGCUCAGUUUUCAGGUAAGCUCUCUUUACCUCCAUAGUUUCCAUAUCUUUGAAACCUAUCUUAUACAAGACAAAAAUUCUUGCAUGGCAUGGGAUACGCUAGUAGAAUAGUGAAAAUUAAAAAUUAUAAGUCAGGCAAAUGAAGCAUAUAUAAGUCAUGCUUAAUUACGAAAACAGACUUGUCGUUGUGAUUUACUGUAUCGAAUUCGAAAGUCUCAUCCAGCUUGAUGCUGAAUCGCCUACCAUCAACAAAAAAAUUUCUGUCGCACUGGCCGCGCUCGUCUUCACAGUAUGUGCACAUACCGAAAUUUUUUCCGUCGUCAGACGACAUUUCCUAUGUUCAUAUUAGGCGAAACAUUAAACACUUACUAAUUCAAUUAAUUCAACUAGUUCUAUUAAUUCAACUAAGCAUUUACUAAAAAUAAAUUAGUUAUAUUAAUUCAAUUAGUUCAACUAAGUAUUUACUAAAAAUAAACUAGUUAUAUUAAUUCAAUUAGUUCAACUAAGCAUUUACUAAAAAUAAACUAGUUCUAUAUAUUAAUUCAACUAGUUCAACUAAGCAUUUACUAAAAAUAAACUAGUUCUAUUAACUUUUCUAUCUAAUUCAUCUAACAUUCCACAUUAAUCUAACAUUUAUAUAAACUCAAAAUAUAUAAAAACAUUAAAUAAACAGAAAAACUCAUUAACAAAUAAUAUUUUAAUUAGAUAAUCAAAUCUCAGACACGACNNNNNNNNNNNNNNNNNNNNNNNNNNNNNNNNNNNNNNNNNNNNNNNNNNNNNNNNNNNNNNNNNNNNNNNNNNNNNNNNNNNNNNNNNNNNNNNNNNNNNNNNNNNNNNNNNNNNNNNNNNNNNNNNNNNNNNNNNNNNNNNNNNNNNNNNNNNNNNNNNNNNNNNNNNNNNNNNNNNNNNNNNNNNNNNNNNNNNNNNNNNNNNNNNNNNNNNNNNNNNNNNNNNNNNNNNNNNNNNNNNNNNNNNNNNNNNNNNNNNNNNNNNNNNNNNNNNNNNNNNNNNNNNNNNNNNNNNNNNNNNNNNNNNNNNNNNNNNNNNNNNNNNNNNNNNNNNNNNNNNNNNNNNNNNNNNNNNNNNNNNNNNNNNNNNNNNNNNNNNNNNNNNNNNNNNNNNNNNNNNNNNNNNNNNNNNNNNNNNNNNNNNNNNNNNNNNNNNNNNNNNCCGGCGCGCGGGUGCGAGAGACGUACGGGACUGCGGCGACGACGACGGACGGCGGCGGCGUUCGGGGCGGCGGCGCGAGACGACGACGAUGACGAGCGGCGGCGGGGACAGCGACGACGACGACGGACGCCGGGCGACGGGCGGCGACGACGGAAUCGAGCGGCGCGCGGCGAUGUCGAGAGGUUGGAGACGAAAGUGGGGAGAUGUAACUGAAAUUUUCGUAAGUGCUAUAUAUAUAUAUAGGAUGGGCCUUUAGCAUCGGUUGUAGCCACCAACCGGUACUAAAGGCCAACUUUGGCCAGGCCAAGAGGCGGGAAGAGCAGGCCUUUAGUACCGGUUGGUGGCUACAACCGGUACUAACCGGUACUAAAGGGUGAUCUUCAGUACCGGUUGUAGCCACCAACCGGUACUAAAGGCCUCGCGCUGCCACCCCAAAGUUUAGUCCCACCUCGCCGGGCGAAAGGCAGCCGCACUGGUUUAUAAACCCAGCCGCGGCUACCUCUUUGAACUCCUCUAUAUAGCAGGCUUGUGGGCCUAAAUUCUGCGUGCUGCCCUGUGAGUCUGCUGGGCCUUUAAGGCCUGUAAUUGCACGCCCGUGGCCUAGCAGGCCCACAGGGCAGCGCCCCAAUUUUUUUAAUAGUUUUUUUCUUUUCUGCUUUAUUUUCUUCUAUUUAUUUCUGCGUAGUUUUUUGUAUAGUUUUUUCUUUUCUGUUAUAUUUAUUUUCUUCUAUUUAUUUCUGAGUAGUUUUUCAUCUAGUUUGCCAAAAUUCAACAUUUUCAGAGUUCAUUUUGUAUUGAUUUUAAUUUCACGGUCAUUUUAUAUAGUUUUUUUCUUUUCAGCUAUAGUUUUUUUUCCAGCUAUUUUUUCUUUUCUGCAAAACUUGAUGGUCAAAGUCUAGAGUUAUAACCAAAGUUUAAAAAAAAGAAAUGCCGACGUGCAAUUAGUUUUUGCCAUAAUAGAAGAAGUCCGGAGUUGUAAUAAGUUAUUAAAAAUAAAAAAGAGGUGCAAUGCUCGUUAAUUUGCUUCAAGCCUUUCGGAAUAGUGUAAACUGCACUGCGCAUAGCUCCGUGCAGUCUACCAUAUUCCUGAAGGCUUGAAGCUAAGCAACGUGAGCAUUGAGCCUCUUCUUCAUCGUCUCUGCACUCAGGGCUUAUAAACCGCUCCUAGUCCCUCUCUCUUCGCGAGGUGGGACUAAAAAACAGCUUACUAAGAAACUGUAGUACUGGUUCAUCCAUGAACCGGUAUUAAAAGUGCUCGUGGGGCCGCAGCCUUACCUGACACAACCUCAUUAGUACCAGUUCGUGGCACGAACCGGUGCUAAAGGUUCGCCACGAACCGGUACUAAACAGCUCCUCCCGCCUAGCAGUUGGUGCAUACUGAACGCAAAAAAUAUAAGAGCAUUUAGAUCAUGAUCUUAUAUUUCUUUACAGUCUAAAUUGUCAAUAUGAUCUUAUAACAUCAAAAAUACUUUGAUCAUCAAUGAUCUUUGUGUGUACAAUCUGAAUUGUCAAUAUGAGUCAUCAACGAUUUAUAAACCGAUGAAGACUCAUAUUGCGGCCACAAAUUCUACACAUAGAGUUCAAUGAAGACCAAGUGCUUGUGAUAGUUUGAGAAAUAACAUAUUUAAGGUGGUAAAAGGCUUGUUAGGGGAGCGAGGUGGGACUAAAAACAGCUUGCCAUAACCUCAUUAGUACCGGUUCGUGGUACGAACCGGCACUAAAUGGUGAUGGUGGGGCCAUAGCCUGACCGCAGGCUGACACAGCCUCUUUAGUACCGGUUCGUGGCAUGAACCGGUACUAAAGGUUCGCCACGAACCGGUGCUAUUGAUCGCCGCCACGAACCGGCACUAAUGUACACAUUAGUGCCGGCUGAAAUUCAAACCGGCACUAUUGUGCUUCACAUUUGACCCUUUUUCUACUAGUGUGAGCUUACUCAUAAAGGACUCAAAUUCAUUUACUUCCUCAUUAGACCCCUUACUAUCAUCAAUGCCGUCCGUCAAAGAGGGAUUAGGAAUGAUGGUAGUUUUGAUGUUGGGGGUUACCUUGUUGGUGGCUUUAGCCAUGAGUCACUUGGCGGUGAUGUUCUCGUUGGGUGAAUCGAAGAGAGACAUCCGGGGAGUUGUGGCAAUGGCAACGGAUGCCAUGGCCAUUGCUUCACUAUCUUCAUCAUCAUCGUCAUCCUCAUGGUAUUCCUCUUAAACCACCAACCCUCGAGUAGGAGUCUUCUUGGUGAAGUUGUUCUUGUUGGGGAGAGACUUGGCUUUGCCUUUCUGGAUGAGCUUGCCACCAUUGUCUUCCCGCUUCUCGUAAGGACAAUCUGCAACGAAAUGGCUCACAUUGCCACAGUUGUAACAAGUUCUAACUUGUUGCUUGCCCUUGAAGCCACUUGAGUUGCUCUUGUUGAAGUUGGGUCUUGAGUUCUUCUUGCUCCAAAAUUGCGUUGAAGCAAGAGCCAUGUGCUCGUGAUAAUCAUAUUUUGUAUCUUCGGGGUUGCUCUCCUCAUCUUCCUCUUCUUCCUCUUCUUCCACAAUAACCUUGGCCUUCAAGGCAAGGUUGGGCUUCUUUGCCCUUUGAGACCGGAGCAUCGCGUUAUUGGCGGUCUUGUCCAAGAUGCUCAUUGCAAUGAACUCAUCCAACGCUUCACUUGAGGUCAUGGAGUGGAAGUCCGGUCUUUGACGAAUGACGGAGGACAUGGCCUUGUUGUAGGGCAUCAUGGCCUUGAGGAACUUGCGUUUGAUCCAAUUGUCAUCCGUGUCCUUGCUCCCAUGAUCUCGGAGUGAGACCGCAAGUUUGGUUACUCUCCGAAAGAGCUCACGAGGUUAUUCAUCUUCCUUCAUAGCAAACUCAUCGGCUUCAUCUUGCACCACUUCAUAGUUGGAGCGUUGAAUGCUCGCACUUCCCCGAUAGAGAGACACAACGCAAUGCCACGCGUCUUUGGCCGUGGCGUAAGGUCGAAGAUGAGGGAGAUCUUCGGGGAGAAUUGCCUCUUGGAUGAUGAAGAGAGCAUUCUCAUUGAAUUGAUUAUUCACGGCUUCUCUAGGGGUGAAGUUGCUUGGGUCAUGUGGAUAGAAACCUUCUUCAAUGAUUCUCCAAAUAUUAGUAUUCACAUGCUUUAAAUGACGCUUGAAGCGAUACACCCAAGAAUCAAAAUCCUCAUUUUUCACAAUCUUAGGAGGAGGACCGGCAUGAUUUAAAUGAGUAGAGGGAAUCGGUCCACCAUAAGUUGGAGGUUCCACAUGGCAUAGAUGUCGGUGCCAUUUCUACCACUAGUAGAAGGACCCUUUUCACUGUUAGCUUCCCCCUUGUCGGAGGUAGCAUCCGUCACCUUGUUAGUGGGAUCACCCACUUUCAUCGGCAAGGUAGACAGUUUAAGUCCUUCUAGGAAUUUAGUAAACAUGCUUUCAACCUCGGUCGUCAUGGAGUUUUUCAAUGUGUCUAAAGCCACAUUGAAUUCCUCACGAGAGACCACGGUUCCCCCAUCGACCGUAGAUGAGGUAGGAUUCACACCGGAGUGCUCCUCCACACUGUCUGUGGUGUCAACCAUACUCUUCGGAUAGCAAAGUCCUUAAUAGAGAGACGAGGCUCUGAUACCAAUUGAAAGGAUCGAUAUAGUUGACUAGAGGGGGGUGAAUAGGCAACUAACACUUUUUAGACUUUUCUUUAUCAAUUUAAACUUAGCGUCAAAGUAGGUUGUCUAGAAAUGCAACUAAGUGAGCAACCUAUAUGAUGCAAUAACAACUAGAACAAAGGCAAGCAAAAGAUACAACAGAAAUAAGCUUGCACAAGUAAAGGCACGAGAUAACCAAGAGUGGAGCCGGUGGAGACGAGGAUGUGUUACCGAAGUUCCUUCCUUUUGAGGGGAAGUACGUCUCCAUUAGAGCGGUGUGGAGGCACAAUGCUCCCCAAGAAGCUACUAGGGCCACCGUAAUCUCCUCACGCCCUCACACAAUGCGAGAUGUCGUGAUUCCACUAUUGGUGCCCUUGAAGGUGGCGACCAAACCUUUACAAACAAGGUUGGGGCAAUCUCCACAACUUAAUUGGAGGCUCCCAUUGACACCACGAAGCUUCACCACAAUGGAAAAUGGCUCCGAGGUGACCUCAAUCAUCUAGGGUGCUCAAACACCCAAGAGUAACAAGAUCCGCUAGGGAUUAGUGGGGGGAAUCAAAUUUCUCUUGGUGGAAGUGUAGAUCGGGGCCUCUUCAACCAAUCCCGAGCAAAUCAACAAGUUUGAUUGGCUAGGGAGAGAGAUCGGGCGAAAAUGGAGGUUGGAGCAACAAUGGAGCUUAGGGAUGGAAGAGGUAGUCAACUAGAGGUAGGAGACACCCCUUUUAUAGUGGUGGACAAUAUCCAACCAUUAUCCACUAAUAAAGCCUGCGACAUGCGGUACUACCGCUCCAGGAAUGCGGUACUACCGCAAGGCCACGCGGUACUACCGUGAGGGACCAUGGUACUACCGCGGCAACUGCAGAGACUAGAACAUGCCCGAUUGAGAGCAGUACUACCGCGAGCGUGGUACUACCGCUCCCCCUAGCGGUACUACCGCGAGGCAUGAAGUCCUAGCCUGUGAUGGGCACGGACGAAUAAAAAUACAUUCGUGCUUACUUCCGCUGGAAACGAAGCGAUGCAAACAUCCGUCACGGUACUACCGUGCUCGAGGAGCGGUACUAUCGUGGGGGCGCGGAUGUAAAAAAUUACAUCCGCCCCUACUACGCGAAGCAGCGGCACAUGGCCUGGGAACCACGGUACUACGGCUCCAGAGGAGCGGUACUACCGAGGGCUCCCGUGGUACUACCGCGCAUGACGUGCGGUACUACCGUGCAGGCGCGGAUGUAAAAAAUUACAUCCGCCCCUACUACCGCAAAUCAGCGGUACUUGGCCAGGGAGCCACGGUACUACGACUCCAGAGGAGCGGUACUACCGUGGGCUCCCGCGGUACUACCGCGCAGUGGCACGGUACUACCGCAAGUGCGUGCGGUACUACCGCUCCAGGGAGCAGCACUACCGCAAGCUCAGCAACAGCAGUGAGGACAAUCGCAUAGAGGAUAAACAGGGGAUGCUCCAAAGAGCAAGGGAAAUGUGGAGACAAGGAAGGAAACGUGUACGUGAUGAUUCCACCCGAACCUUUCCGACGCGGACCCCCUCUUAAUAGUACGGCUCUCCUACGACUCAAAUCCACCAAAAAGAAACGUAGAAAAACGCCGUCUUAAAUAGUCUUAGAGGGGCACCGAACCGUCUUGUGCCUAGUGAUGAAGCAUCUGAGAAACUCAAGGCACACGAUUAGUCCACAAAAGCAUUGUCAUCAAUCACCAAAACACUUAGGGAUAAAUAUGCCCUUACAACAGGCAAGUAACACUUUGAUCAUACCUCUUUACUACCCAGUUUUAUUGCAUUAGAUCAAUCUUCAAACAAUUGCAUGAUUAGGAUCUGAUUAAUAUGUGGGUAUUGGGAAGUAGAUGAGGUAGUACCUAUUACCUGUUUUAUUAUCAAACCUUUGGGAGUUACUUCUACGAUUGCUUAUAUUGCUAUGUUAUGCUCGUAGACGUGGACUGGGUGAGUGAAUCCAUGACAGAUGUGGGAUUGUUAAUUAAUGGUUUAUUUAAGGUGGCAACUUUAAUACACAUCUGGGUGGAUUGAGGCACCUGGGGAUCCCAGUGAUUGCCUGUUUUUUAUGGACCGCCACCCAGGCUCAAAGGGAUCAUGAGAUUAUUCAUGCUAGAAACUUCCGUGUGCAGCCGCAAGCUACUAUGGGCUCUAGCAUAGCUGAUUAAGUCGUGUGAACUCUUAUAGUGAUAGACUAGCAGAUGUAGGGGAAAGUAGGUGUAACUGUCUACCCAUCGUAAGGUGUAAACGCUUCUGAAAGACUAUGUCUGGGUCAUCCGUUUCUCAAACACGUUGUAGUGCGAGAAUUCCAACGGAGGAGAUCGAGUCUUGUGGGUAAAAGUGCACAAACCUCUGCAGAGUGUACAAACAAAUCAUGAUUAGCCGUGUCCCUGGUUAUGGACAUCUUGAGUAUCUGGUAUUUGAAUUAUUGAUUUGAUCUCAUCAUGUUACUUAAUUAAUUUGUUGGGUUGUUAACUUUUAAUUGGGAUUGAGUAGGGGUUUACCUUUCAAUAUUUUUAAACAACUGUGUAGUUAAAUAAAAUUUAUUCCUUUGAAGUAGGGAAAAAUUGGCUUUUCGCAAAAACAUUAUAACCAUAGAGCUUUUCCACCAGCCAUAUAUGCAUGUAGUGAUAGCUAUUAUUCGUCAUUGCUCUAUGGUGUGAAUUUGCCAUUACAUUCAAUGUACUGACCUAAAUGGCUGCAACAUCUCAUGUUGCGGGAAUCUUACGGCGCGUAAGUGAUAUGUUAGGGUUACGAUUUCUACACUCAACUUUGCCGUUGGUGUUGAUGGGAAUCCACAACCUUGUUGUUACUUCCGCUAUAUGGAUUGAGGUAAUAGUAUUUACGUUAGUUUAUACAUGUGAUUUACCUCUGUUAUAGAUCCUUGAGUACUGUGUGUGUCAGCAUACCGAUCCAGGGAUGACACUUACGCACAGAGACUUGACCGUUUGAGGUCGAGUCGCUACAAUCAGAAACCUGUGCAGUUUCCUAUUGUUAGUGAUGUUUAGAUCAUCUCUCAAAGUUGUUCCCAGGAACCUGUGCAUUCUACUUCAACCCAACCCAUUGCAAUGGGGAAAAUGCAGUCAUUUGGAUCAAUUCCAACAGCACUCAGCAACACUCCUUUAAACCUUUUUUUUCAUGUGACAACCAUCAAUUAAAAUGAUAGGCCUCCACCCCUUUAACCACCCUAUUUUACAUGCAUCAUAAGACCAAUACGGUGUCUUCAGACACUUACUGCCCAUUGGAAAUGUUGUGUCUUUCACUAGCUCAGUCGACGGAAGAAAUGUAGACCUAGGGUUUGUACUCCUUAAUUCAUAACCAUAAUCACAUAGCCUACUAAACCGCUGUUAUUCAUCACCAUGGUUCUCUUUCAGAGUUGCAGUUCUAAUCCUCGCUACCUUCCAUCUGUUAGAGGUCAUGUUGAAUUCCUUGGUGAUCUUUCUUGAAAAUGUACCAAGUGACAUCUUCUGGUCAUCCUUGAACUCAUCAAUGAAAUAUUGGCACAGAAAAUUAGCUGUCAUCUGCCUUAACCUCCUUUUCUUCUGACAAAUGUGCUCUGCAUAGUAAGCCUUGAUUACAAAUCCCCCUGUCAUGUUGUCAUUGCCAGCUUUUAGCCACCAUGGGCGACCUCUUUCACAAACAGCCUCUACUCUAGUAUGUCAUUCUUUAUCUUGUUGAUCUGAACUCUGUUCUUAAUAGAAUAUGCAGUAAGAGCUAGUCUUAGCUCCUUCACAUCAGCAAAGACCAUCCCAACUUUGAAGACAGGGGAAACCAUGUCCACCUUUGAAUUGAAAGCUAUAAACUUGUACCUCAAUUGCUCUGCUUCCUCAAUGGACAGAUUAAGAUCUUCAUCAUCAAACAAGUAGUCAUCUGGCUCCACAUCAUCCUCUUCUUUCUAAGCUUGUUCAUCAACAUCAAAGUCAAUGUUGUCAUCAUAAAGAUCAUCAUCCCCCUCAUCUAUGUCAUAAUCACUAUCACUGAAAUUCGAUUCAGAAACAACUAUAUCUUCAAUAACUGCUAGUCCAUCUUCAGUAAGCAAAUUAUGCUUUGCACCUUCUAUCAGCAAACUUUGAGGUUCUGUUCCUGUUGCAGCAAUCUCUGAAAUUGGUCUUCUUCAUUGGCAGAAAUGAGAUUGUGGUGGGAAGAUGCUCCACUGGCUGCUAGAACACUUGAUGUGCGCAUUGCAACGGAGCACUGAAUUGAGGGCAAUGUGCAUAUGGAUUCAGCGCUGAAAUUGUUGACGAAAUCUGAAUGGUCAACCAUGGAUCAUUGAAGGGUUCCAGUACUCCAAAUUACUUAUUGGUCCACUAAAAAUUCCACCAUGCUCAAGUUCAAGUGUAAAGAAAGGAGUGUCCACCCUUUGUCCAGUUUCUGAAUCGCACACUCCAUCAAAUAAGUGUACAUUGUAAGCACUUACCUUAACAUCAACAUAAGUGAAAAAAAUGAUGUGUACUGUUAACUGUAAAAUUCAGUUCACUGCAGUAAACUGAAAAAUUCAGUUAACUACAGUGAACUUGAAACAUUUUGAUAACUACAAUGAACUGAAAAAAAUCAGAUAACAACAGUUAGCUGAAAAAAUUCAGAUAACUAUAGUCAAAUGAAAAAUAUUCAGGAACUUGAGCUAACUGAACUUGGUGGCAUUGAACGUAAGCAAUUGGUGGCAUCACAGACACCUGAGCAUGAGCAUGACCAUUGCACACCUAAGCAUGAGCAUUGAACAACUGAAUUUGGUGGCAUUGAACACAAGCAACUAUAGUCAGAUUAUUACCAUUGCUUUCUUUGCACACAAAUAGAGGACCAAACCACUACUCUAGUAUAACAAACUACUAACAUAUGAACGAAAGAACCAACUACAGUGCCGGGCCAAAACCACGACUUUGUUGCCAAAAAACCUAACCUAAUCUAAUCGGCCAAAACCCUAGUUUUACUGCCGUGAGACACACCCAACACCAUUCACCCCUCAAACCACCGUGAGACACACCGAUGCGGUGGCGCUGAUGUUGACGGCGACCACAUUACACGGCUGAGGCGGUAAUAGAGGCGAGGCGGAACAGAGAAGAGGCGGAACAGACAAGAGGCGGAGGCUCACCAUAGUCCGGUGGGAUGAUGCCGAGCGGCCGGAUGAGAUGAGCGGAAGGAGGUGGCUCCAUGCCGCCGGCGAACUCCGGUGACGAUGAAGUUAUGGCCGACGUCAUCAUCAAAUCGCCACCGCGGUCACCCCCGACAGAACAGCCGACAUCAAACGGAUCUCAACAGGAGUCCACUGUAUUUAAUUCAGGUGUGGGGUAGUGCUGGUUCAUUAAAAGGAACGGCAGGGGCCUUUAUGCAAAAAUGCCAGCACUGACCAGUCCGAGCUCUCAACUGCCACUUGUCGCGCUGUGAUUGGCUUUGGACCAAAACAUCACAUAGGGGUGCAAGUUUUGGGAGGCCUCAGUUCACUUUUGCAACUUCUGAACUAAAUCAUCACAUUCGCUGCAAGUUCAUGGAUGUGGUGUGCUAUUACCUCGACAUUUUUUGCCAUGCUUCUUUUUACAAAAAGAUCAACCAUUGUUCAUCCACCCACCUGCCGUCUCUGCGGCGCCGCACGUGAAGCAAAGCGAAACUGUCGCCACCGCAGCAGGCACGCAAAGAGAAAGAGAGAGAAAGAAGAGGAGUCGAUCGAUCCACAUCAUUUCCUGUUCCCGCGACCAGAUCUGUCGACUGACGGGCUGCCGACCGAUUGGAGACACGGCCAGCAGCGCUGCAAUUCCUUCCGUUCGUAACUGUAAUCGAUGGGGCAGACACAAACCUAAAAGGGACACAAAGAAACAAAUCUCUCGCCUCUCGGUCAGGCAAGGCAAGUGACACACCUCCUCUGCUAAUCACCGGUCAGUCGUUCCGUCAGCUAGCUAGCACCGCAGCAUGGGGGUUAGUACUAUUUUACUGUAUUUCCGUUCACUUUUGUGCCACGCCACGCCGCUGUGAUCUGGCUGCCUCUCCGGCCGGCGAGUGGCUCCAUGUGUACGUGGCCAUGUCGAUCACGGUCUCCUUCCUUCCGAUCACACGAUCAUCCACUCGGGUCGGGAACCGGAGGAGACGAUGGUGUUUGCGAGCGCGCCAUGAUGCACGUCAUUUGUACUACAUGUGUGCUCGAUCGACAUGUCUAGCGUCAUGCACAACACGACUUGUUCACAUCGUAUCGAGGGUGUCAAUCUGGAGGAUUACCUUACAGCUUCUAUUCUUCUCUUUCUGCCUGAUGACGAAAUCCAGUGGAUUACUUUUUUUUUGCGGGUGAAAACCCAGUGGAUUACAACCUCUCUAUUGUUCCUUUUUUUUUGCAGGGAAACUUCUAUUGUUCCUGAGCACACUCCAAAGCGACCCUCCUACGAUGGACGUAUAUUAGCAAAACAGCGCGCAGGGUGACGUUCACACUUAUAAAAUUCAACGUGACUUUCUUGUCUACUUUUAUUUAUUUGAAUGAUAUCCGUUUUGUGAUCCAUUUGAACUCGGGGCCGCUGUCAUCCUUCGAGACGAGGCGUGUUUAUGUGUGACGGAUAUAUUUUGUGUUAUACUAAUGUACGUAGCUUUCUCGUUGUGCGGUGUAUUAAAAUCGGGCGGUGUUUGUGGGCAAUGUUUACUCGCGGGGCAUGCGACAUCGUUGGCACAUAAGCAUGUCACAAAAAGGCACCUUCCUCUGAACGAGCGGCUGGAUCUCCUCGACCCGGUGGUUUUUCGGGGCAUCCAUUGGCUAGGGCUAAUAAGGGUGCAACCACAAGCCAUCCCUUUGGUGAAGGCACCGUGCGGAGUACAUCCAAGACGACGGUGCCCUAGCCUUCAACGGACGGAGUAGCGAGACAGGCCGAGGUGAAGUCGGUCGGAGGAUGAAAAAUUCUUCUUCUGCUCCGGCCACGCCCGGCAACACGUCGGUUCCUGUCAGCAUUUUCCGCCCCCGCUUGCUUGGUUUAUUUAAGGUUAAACAUAGCACUCUCUUCGUCCCGAAAUAAGAAUCGGCGACACUUAUUUUCGAAACAAAAGGAGCAGCAAAUUGUGAAGCGGAGAGCACAAAUAUUGCAUAACAUUUUGCGUCAUCGCGUGUGCAAGGACGCAAGCGAAUUUGCGGGACUGUAUUUUAGCUCCACGACGCCUUCCUCGUCGGAGGCAACUUGAUAGCGGCACCGUGAGGCGUGUGCGUGCGCUGGCGACGGGCCGACGGCACCUUUUUUCUACCGCUGGAGGCGAUCGGAUGAAGAUCUGGGGACAAUAUUAUAGCCAUGUGGAUGCCGAUCCCGGGCGAUCCUGCCGGAUCCUGCCUGCCCGCCCCCAACCUCCAACCACCCAAGUUGCUUCCAUUCUAUGCCUCAAAUAGCAUAAUGCAACGUGCCGCCACCCACCCACCCGCCUUGACGCAGCAACAACGCAGCGCCAGCACACGCCCGUACGUGCCACACCUUAAAAUUCCAUAAAAUUUUGAACUGCAUGAAUUUUUUACUACGCCUUGUGUUUGUACUGAAGGUUAGUAGUACAGCUCAGGGGAGAGCUUUGGGUGACGAAUUGAGCUGUGAGCCAAACAUUUCGAUCAGUUUUUCUCGUACAUCACAAAGGUGCAGUAGCGCAAAUGCAAAAACAGUGGUCAGAAUAAAUAAGCCAUAAAAUUAGUCUUAGAAUCAUCAUCAUCAUCAUCCGGGGGCGGGCGCCGCGGCGGCCGGCCGGCAUUAUCUACAACUUGGUUUCACUUUUCACCCCCACUUCCCUCCCCUGCUCCUCUUUUCUGAGCACACCAAAAUUCAGCUAGUGUAAAAGUAGUAUGUUUUUUCUAGUUCUUCACUUAGAACUAAGUAAAUAUUUUACCCCACCCCAGGAGCUACUAUUAGCCAUGACGACGAUGAUGAUUCUCCCAUAUGAGCAAGUAAACCCCAAAAAAAUUGCAGGAGCCAAGAGAAACAUGAGGUUUCUUGGUUGGGGGUGUCUCUGUUGAGUUUCUUCAGGAUUCAGGUCUCCACCGCCAGGCCGCUGCUGCCGCUGGAGAGGCUCGUGCUCGCCCCGUCCUGCUCCAUCAUCGCCGCCUUCCGCUUCCUGCUGCCGCCGCCGCAGUCACCCGUGAUUCCGCCGGCCGUCACUGCCUCCUCCUCCGCCGCCGGCUCGGCUGGCGCUUGCUCUGCCUUCAGCUGCUGCUCUGGCUGUGGUUUCUGUUGCUGCUGCUGUGGUUGCGGCUGUGGCUUCUCAUGUGUCUGCGGCUGGAGCUGGGGCUGCUUCCGCCGGACCAGGUGCGACUUGAGCUUCUUCAUGUCAGCGAGCUUCACGGGCUUGAGGAAGAACUCCUCCGCGCCGUCCUCCAAGCACCUGAAAUUUCAAUCCCAACCACUCCAUUCAUUCAUUCUUCAGCACAGAAACAACCCAAGAUUUACCGCAUCAACUCUACACUGAAUAAAAUGAAACAUUGCUUCCAAUGGUCGAUAGCUACUCUUUCCUUUCCAUCACAUCACUCAAAGGCAAGGACACACUAGGCAGUACAUGUCAGAGAUCUUUGCCCGGACAAGCAAAGAGAUACGGUCUUGAGCAUUUCCAGGCCCUUUUGACUCGCNNNNNNNNNNNNNNNNNNNNNNNNNNNNNNNNNNNNNNNNNNNNNNNNNNNNNNNNNNNNNNNNNNNNNNNNNNNNNNNNNNNNNNNNNNNNNNNNNNNNNNNNNNNNNNNNNNNNNNNNNNNNNNNNNNNNNNNNNNNNNNNNNNNNNNNNNNNNNNNNNNNNNNNNNNNNNNNNNNNNNNNNNNNNNNNNNNNNNNNNNNNNNNNNNNNNNNNNNNNNNNNNNNNNNNNNNNNNNNNNNNNNNNNNNNNNNNNNNNNNNNNNNNNNNNNNNNNNNNNNNNNNNNNNNNNNNNNNNNNNNNNNNNNNNNNNNNNNNNNNNNNNNNNNNNNNNNNNNNNNNNNNNNNNNNNNNNNNNNNNNNNNNNNNNNNNNNNNNNNNNNNNNNNNNNNNNNNNNNNNNNNNNNNNNNNNNNNNNNNNNNNNNNNNNACCACUAGCAGCAGCAGCAGCCAAGUGGAAGGCCACAGAAAAAUUCAGAAAAAAAACAAACGGCACAUUUCUUUUUCACAACAAAUCUUUGGGGUCGAGCAUGAAAAGAUUGUGUGAGAUCUUGACCACCCACCACCACCACCACCACCACAAGGCAGGCACUGAUGAUGACAGCAACACAUUUUCUCCUAAAAUGCUUUGGGUCGUUGUCGCCAGGAUAUGCAAUCUACGCAUGAAAACACCCGGCAUUCAUGGCCCCCCGUUGCCUUGCCGUUGCGACAACAUCAACGCGACUGUUGCGGGGGCGAAUUCCUCCGCUUUUUCCUCCACUUGUCAUAUCGUAUCGCCAAAUGCUAUUGUUCACAUCCGAGGGGCCAAAUCUUUCGUGCUUGGAUUCUAUCGCCACGUUAUUUCAGCGACUAUUUGGAGGUUUGCAGAAACUUUUACGUAUUAGGUAUUGCGGGAAACGAGAGCGUUGAAAAACACAUUUUCUGUGGCUUGAAUCAUUCUUUCUAGAAAAUGUCUUCUUCCAGAAGAAGAAGAAAAAUAGUUGAACUAGUGUUUUAUAAUUUUUUCUUUGCAAGUUUUAGAGCUAGUAGCAGUGCCAAACUGCUAGACAGCCUAUUUCUGGAUGAAUGAAUGGAUGGAUGAGCUGGUGGCUAGCCUUUUCACUCCUACUCCCAAAGUUGCAAAUUGAGGGUGGAAGGAAGGAAAAGUUGCAAAUCUUUGAUGCUGUUUAAAAAACCAAUCCCAAAGUCUGAAGAGGCCUCCUUGCACAUAUUAAUUGAUAUCCACUGGCCAUUCAACUACUCCUUUAAGCAAGAGCUGCUGCUCUAUGAUGGCAAGAUAUUCCUUCUGCUCCCCACCACAGCCCCUUCCCCCUCAUCUCAUCAUACAGUACAUAAAAGGACCAUGUACUGCACUGUUAAAACAAAACCGGAUGCAGGCAGGCAGGCAGGCACCCGAACAGUGAAAACCAAAUCAGUCCCAUUUACUGCAACACGCCGAUCUCAUGACCUACUACCAGUACUAGAUCAGCCAUGGUGGCUGGUGAAAAGUAGGGGCAGGGCAGAGCAUUCAUGGAGGGAGGGAGGGAGGUUAUUGUGCUGACUGACCUGCUGAUCCUGGCAGGCACAUUCUCAGACGACAUGAUCACCACUGGAAUGUCCUUCAAUGAAGAUGACCCCUGCGAAUUAACACAGCAACUUUUUGAGACCAAUGAAUGAACGAAUGAAAGAAUGGCGAGAUUGAAGGCGGGUCUGCGAAUUCUUUUACCUUGACCCUCCUCAGCAGAUCGUAUCCUGUCAUGCCAGGCAUGCAGUAGUCAGUGAUGAUCAAAUUCACGCCCACCUCCUGCGACAACAGGUUCAGAGGAGCACAUGGGUUGUUCAGAUCUCAUUCCAUUAAAAUUUCUUGAAAGAACAGCUCAAGCACAGAGGAAAGAACAGAGUCAACUGAUUUCUUGCUGGUGGUAGUACCUGGUGGUGGUCAGGGGCGGAGGAGGAAGGGGGUGAGGAGGAGGAGGAGGAGUCGUCCCCCUCGUCUCUAAGUCCCAGGACCUCCAGCGCCUUGCUCCCGGAGUCCACCGUGGUGACUGCACGCGCCGGCCCCCAAGAACAGAGUCCGUCCGUGAGAUUUGGGGACGAACGAAAGAGGGGGGAAGAGCAAUCUGGAUGGGCGUGGACGCACCUUGGUAGGAGGAGGUCCUGAGCAGCAUCUCGAUGAGCUUCCGGUCGAUGACGCUGUCGUCCACCGCCAGGACGUGGAACCGGGUCUCGGCGUCGACCACCGUCAUGGCGCGCGGGCCGGGCUGGGAGCAAGAACCAGAGGAACCGAGCCAAUCCGCACGGAGGCCCUCUCAAUCUCUCUCCCUCUCCUCGAGCUCAGACAGAGACAGAGUGGGAGGAAGAGGGAAAUCUCGCCGAUCUCUCCGCCGUCGCCGCCGCCGGAGGGAGGCUUGGAUUGGUGAAGAUUGGAGGGGGAGACGGGGGAGUGCGUUGGUGGCUAAUGCGGCAUCUCGGGGCAGGGAGGGGGGGCUACGGGGAGGAUAUAGGCGGGGGCGGAGGACAUCAUUGAUUCACACCAUGGCAGCACCCACCGCAUCACCGGCACCACCGCCACGGCCUCUUCCCGGGAAAGCGGGAUCCGACCAGAUCACGCACCCGAAUCUCCACAGCAAAUCGCCUCCAUGACUUCCCCUUUAUCUCCUCCUCCUCGUGGCCUCUCUCUCUCUCUGCCUCUGCCUCGGUGGUGGUGGAGCGCUCUGUUCUUGGCUUUGGAACCGGGCGGACAGGCGCUACCCGGUGGCUUUUCCCCGGCUCCUCUGCCAUUUUAUCGGUGCCGUGGCCAGCGCGUCGCGGAUCCGCGGCUGUGCUUGCUCCGAGAUUCGUGCGGCGCGUCCCGACCUACCUACCUACCUACAGAAUGAGUGUUGUUUUUACCGCCCGAUAAGGUGCGUGCCGUGGCCAGCGCGUCGCGGAUCCGCGGCUCUGCUUGCUCCGAGAUUCGUGCGGCGCGUCCCGACCUACCUACCUACCUACAGAAUGAGUGUUGUUUUUACCGCCCGAUGCGGCUUCACCUUAUCGGCCGUGAAAUGCACACGACUUUUGUGCCAUGCUAAGCAGUGUAAGACGUUCGAAAACAUAAAUUUCAGUCUAAAUUGCGAUUUUGUUAUCCUAGAGUUUGUAAUCGAGUCUCUGACACGAAUACGGCGAGCAUCGGUCGAGCCUGCUCUCUUCGGAUUGAAAGAAAUUUGUAUGAGGGAUGGAAGAUUACAAUCCCUACUUUUGUGUUCAAAAAAAAAAUUCCUACUUUUUCUUUUACAAAAUAAAACUUUGUAGAUUGUAGGAUUGGGUCAUCAAAUUUCUAUGGCAUCCAUUGUAUGCCUCUUUUUUUUAGAAGAUCAAGGUCAUAGGCAAAAAAUUGUUAAACCUUUACAAGACCAUCCUUAUACAAGCAAAAUAUAAAACACAAAACUGGAUGUCGAUGUCAUCUUCCUCCUGCACUCGUCGACGUCAUGCCGUGCAACCUCUAGAUCUCGGAAUCAGACUGAGGGCACCGUUGUUAUACAGCUACCACGGCCAAAAAUCGAGGUUACCCUCGUCUCGUCGGCGACUUCAGGCACCCGAAGGCGAGGCGAACCGGCGACGGCAACGACACUUAUUUGGAAAUCCAAGACGAUUUUCUUUGUCUUUUGAGAGAAGCAGGAGGACAAAGAGGAAAAAACUAUUUAUCCAUUCAUAUGCCCUUCAUUCUAUAGGAAUAUGAAUACAAUCUCAAAUCUUAAUUAUUUUUUUCGUGUUGAGAAGUCCACACACUCCCACUUUGUCUCUCUUUUUUCGAACAAGGUCUAGAUAUAUACUAUAAAAGUUUACAAAAAAGCACCCCCAACAUGAUAAAAAUUGGUCUAUAAAUCACUUUUUUGAGAAAAUGAUUGGAUAUAUUAUAAAGAUUCACAAGGAGUAGAGACCACCUCAAACAUAAUAAAAAUUGCAUUGAGGUCCAUGGAUCACCGAACGACCACUGGCAUCGUCAAAACAAGCAGACGACAUGUUGUUGUCACCGCUCGCGUAAUGAAGCCGCCCUAACGUUGUCGAUGGUCCUAAGGACCAGCGCCCCGGAGCCGCAGUCAUCGCCGUUGAAUCCUUAAAUCGAUCUGAAGAAAUCUACAUCGUACUUCCAUCUAAUCCGUAUUGGUGAAUGAACUUGAGAAAGAUCGAAGCCCGGAAGACUAACUCGAAGAAGUGUCCCCAUCCGUCCGAGCACCACCCCCACAAUGACUAAAACACUACAAUCUAAUAGCCGCAGUCGAGGCACCAGGAUUUCCCUCCUCACGACUGGCCCCCCGGAGCGACAAGCGAAGGGGAGGCGAAUCAACAGGCUCGUAGGCGGAAAUUGAAGGGAUGAAGGGAAAGAAAAGUACUUCUCAACGAAAAUACACUAGUAGAAAAGGGGGCAUCAGUCCCGGUUCGUAAGGGCCUUUAGUCCCGGUUCUUGAACCGGGACUAAAGGGUCGUGACUAACGCCUCCACCGUUUAGUCCCGGUUCUAACACGAACCGGGACUAAAGGUCCUCCACGUGGCCACUGCGAGCAGCCCAGGCAAGGGGGCCUUUGGUCCCGGUUGGUGACUUUAACCGGGACCAAAAGGCUUCCACGUGUCAGCAGCUGAGGUUUUUCUUUUUAAAAAAAAAAGUGGCUGGUUUAGGGGUUUUGGGGGUUAAUUUUAGGUUGUUAUUAGCUAGCUAAUAGAGAGAAGUGUCCUCUCUUAUACUGCUAUGUUCAUUUCACCCGCUGAUAUAUAAUAACUCAUGCAUGCUUGCAUCAUACAUCAUCAUAUAUAAUAAUAAGUCCUACUAAUCAUGCAUCAUCAUACAACUUCUACUCGUUAUUAAUAACAAGUCAUACGAUCAUCAUCCUCAUAGUCGUCGAACCCAACCCUACAUAUAUAAUUGUUCUUACCACAUGAUCAUCAGUAUCAGGUAUGACCUAAACACCCUUAAGGUAAAAUAGCAUAAAACAAUAUAGACCCCGAGUCUCCAUUAUGAAGAAUGGAGAUCAUCCUGUCUCCAAUUCUUGCGCUUCGCCUCCUUUUGCUUGGAAGAAGCUCCUUACGACUGUCCAUACAUUUUUUCCAUUCUUUGAUUGUCAUGUCUCCACUUCUUUUAGAAAUCCGGUAUGGACAACUGAGAUUCGUAGGACGACCUGGUUGUAUGUUCAAAACAUCAAGGCGAUCGUGCGUAUACAUCAGAUGAGGCACACAAUCAUUCGGGAUUAUCUGUUGAAAAACAUAGUAAUAACUUCGUAGUUUGCAAUGAUGUACUAGUUUUAGAAGUAUUUAAAAAAAGAUGCAAGGAUGUCGUAAUAGUAAAAAAUCUUACCAGGGUAUCUCCAUAAUAGUUAUCGUAGUUCAACACGUGCACUAGUGGCACGUAUUGACCAUAAUAUUGAGGAGUUCGAUCGUAGACAUUGUAAUUCUCAAGAUCAGUACAAAAUGCGAUCAGAUGAUUUUUCUCCUUAUAAGUUAAUUCGGAGCCAUCAGUGUAGUGGGUUUUGUCUACCAUUUUCCGCACAUUCUUUGAAGAAUGAAAAUAAGCUGUCAAUGGAAACAAGCUGUCAACUAUUUUGAAAUAAACAAUAUAAAUUACUUAAUAACUAUGUUAAGCUCACAUGGGGUAAGAAUUGGAGGUGUAUCCACAAGGACCCAAAUGCCCAUAUUGUCUUGGUGGAUUGUAGGAUCACCAAGAUCCAUGGUGAGAAGCAUACCCUCAUCAAAACCAUACAUCUUGCAAAGUGCUUCCCAAUUUUUGCAACCAAAAUGGGUUACACUCUCAGCAUUGUACAACUUUACUUGAAAAUCCACACCAUGAUGGGUCCGUAGGAGAAUUUUUUUGGUUUCCAUACUUUCAUGGUCUUCAAAACUCAUCCUCUCCAAGACAUAGCGUCUUGCAUAGCAUGGGAUAAACUAGACGAAUUGGAAAAGAUAAAAAAUACACAUUAAAAUAGUUGUCGUGCUUAAUUACGAAAAAAACUAUUGUCGUCAUUGUGUACCGUAUGAACAUCGAUGGUCUCCUCGAGCUUAAUGCUGAAGCGCCGAUCUUCGUCCAGCUCAAUGAACCUGUCGCACAUACCUCGGUCGUCGUGGCACCAGUCCCACUCCCCCGGGCGGUUUUCGUCGUCCGAGUACGACAUUUUCGGCCUAAGUUCAUAAUUCAAAUAUUAAAUAUAUGUACUAAAAACCUAAAUUAGAUCAUUAUUAUUAAUCACGGGUUGACUAUCGGUGAUGGUACGUAGCUCCUCCUUUCAUUCCCGAGUGCAUUAUUACAACAAAUUGUUUAGCACACGAGAAUGAAGGAGAAGCUACUCCCACGACGGCAUGGAUGAUGGAGGGGCUCCUAGAUUUCUGCAUAGAGUGCUCUUCAAUUUUAGCAUUCAAAGUAGGAGUACUUUUCCAACAUGAGCAUUCAAUAAGCAAAACCAAAUCGUAAAAUAAAGUAGUAUUCAAAUUAGCAUGCAUUCAAUUAUAACCAAAAGUACAUCAUCUCUUGUGUUCGUACAUCGUCGAAUACUCCUCGAAUACUAUCAUACAUAUAGCAUCGCUAAUUAAUACAGCUAGAACCGUAGCGCCCGACGGGUAUCGUCGCGGGCGGUGGACACCCAAAGAUAAGGAACGAUCACAGGAUCAUAACUCCAGUGAGAUCCCUGAAGAACCUGCCAGGUAUUGUCGAACCUGCCCUCCAACGCAACCAUGUAACGACAGACGUGCUCGUCCUCCUCGCUGACACGGUGGCGUACCACCUCCGCGAUGUCCGGAAGCCUCGGCACCGUCACUGGCCCACGCGACCGCCACCAAACAAGGAUCGGGUCAACAACGGGCUGCCUCCUCACCAACCUACGACCCCCAGAAGGUAGCACCUCCCAAUACCAGUCCGGCGGAGCCCAGUCCCGAACAUGGCCCUGAUCAAGCAGGCCUCCACCACCACCGAGUCGACGACGACAAGUAUGCGGGAUAGGCAUCGUCGACGUCGAUGCGGUAACUACUUCUAUAUAUAGUUAAAUAAAGUAGUUUUAUUAAUUAAAUCAACUAGUUCAACUAAUAAGCACUUACUAUAAAAAUCUAAAGUAGUACUUAUUAAAAAUAAACUAUUUUUAUUAAGUACUACUUACUAAAAAUAAACUGGUUUAACUAUAGUUCUAUUAUUUUUCUAACUAAUUUUCCUAUACAUACACAAUAAAUUGAAAAAGAAAAUACUAUGAACAAAAAAAUCAUUAAAAUUUUAUGAACAAAAUUAGAACAGAAAAAAUUCAUAUAAAUUCUAUGAACAGAAAAAAAUCUCCUUAGUCCCGGUUCGUGCCACCAACCGGGACUAAACUCUGACCGCAACGAGGACCAACCUGUUAGUCCCAGUUCGUGCCACCAACCGGGACUAAUGGGCUGCCUUUGGUCCCGGUUCAUCUCACCAACCGGGACCAAUGGUGGUGGGCCAGGAGCGAGGCCCAUUGGUCCUGGUUCGUCCCACCAACCGGGACCAAAAGGUCCAGACGAACCGGGACCAAUGGCCCAUGUGGCCCAGCCGGCCCCCGGGGCUCACGAACCGUGUCCAAUGCAAUCAUUGGUCCCGGUUCUGGAUUGAACUGGGACUAAUAGGCUGACCCGGCCUGGACCAAUGCCCCCUUUUCUACUAGUGGUAAUAUCUAUUUGAUGGUCCAUCAUUUUUUCCACUACACCAUCCAAAUAAAACUUCUUACAAAAAUACCAAUUUUGAAAUUUUGUAGGAGUUCAUGUCCGGUAGCAUUUCAAUCUUAUACUAUAUUUAUUUUAUUUUUUAGAAGUUUUCAGUUUCAUGCUCCACAAAGGCCUUUUUUGCGAGGAGUAAAAGUGACCUUUAAUUUGCGAGCUAUAUGCUUUUUUUAAUUGAUAUAAAAAUAUCGGUACCNNNNNNNNNNNNNNNNNNNNNNNNNNNNNNNNNNNNNNNNNNNNNNNNNNNNNNNNNNNNNNNNNNNNNNNNNNNNNNNNNNNNNNNNNNNNNNNNNNNNNNNNNNNNNNNNNNNNNNNNNNNNNNNNNNNNNNNNNNNNNNNNNNNNNNNNNNNNNNNNNNNNNNNNNNNNNNNNNNNNNNNNNNNNNNNNNNNNNNNNNNNNNNNNNNNNNNNNNNNNNNNNNNNNUUAGAAGAGAAUUCCAUAAAUGUAAGUCGCAUAAUACAUUAUAGGUGCUUUAAUCUCCUUAAUUAUUUACCUUUUAAGAAACAACGCAUGGAGUCCACCUCCUUCCAAUUUUUAUUUUUUUGGAACUUCUCAGUUGAAUGAAAAAGGCCUUUUCAAUUUGCGAAAAUGUGUAUACAUUUUUUCUGAAUCUGAUGUGAAUAAGGGCAACUCCAACCCCACGUGCCCAUUUGGAUUGAAACAGAUGGAAAUACGUCCCAAUGCAUCGACACAAACCCAAAUCUCGUCUGCUCGCUGUCUGUACGCCCGCUUGCGUUCGCGCUUUGAAGUUGCCCGUUAGAAGAAGGGGCAUGCUAUGCGUCAGCCGGUGGAUCUUUUGAAAAGAUCCUCCGGGCUCCGAGCCGUUAGAUUUGACAUGAUCUUGCAUCCGAGCGUCCUCACUUUUGCAAUAUAAGUCGUGUUGCAUGAACCUUUUUGCAACACAUGUCUUGUUGUAGAAACAUUUGCAAGAAAGCUGUGUUGCCUUUUUGUACUGUAUAAAGGUCUUGUUGCAUAAUUUCUUAAGGAUUUUUUUUGCAACAGGGAUCUUGCUACCGACUUAGGUAUUGUUGCUGAUUUUUUCUGCAACAGAGGUGAUAUUGCAAAAGCUUGUUUAAAUUGUCGUCGUUGAGAAUCGUCGUUCACCUUAGUCGUUUGCCUGGGCCUAACGGUGGAGGAGGAGGCCGCCUACCUCGAGCAGUGGAUGGGCCGCGCACUGGAGGACGGGGUGUGCCGCAUGGUGAUGGAGCGAGAGAAGGACGAGCGGCGGGAGCAGGAGGAUGACGCGCGUGCGGCGCCCACAAAAGUCGUCGCAAGAGAAGAUGCCAGAGUAGGCGUCCUACCAGCGGGCCUUCCCUUUCGUUGCGGUGACGGAGUUCUUCGGCCUUCCCGCUCCGACGCCGACUACACCGAUGACGCUUUGGGCCGCGGGCGGCGAUGGCUCGGCAUUUUAUUAAUGUUUUUAUGUUUAAUUAUGUUUGUAGUGGAAUUUGACUGUUGAUUUAUAAUAAAUAUGUUUUAAUUAUGUUUCGCUUCCGUUUGAGUUAGCUGGUUGGAGUUGUCCUAAUAACGAUUAAAAAAUACUUCCUCUGUCCUAAAAUAUAAAAACGUUUUUCACACUAAACUAGUGUCAAAAACGUUCUUAAGAGUAUCUUCAAUAGAUGGUCCAAAUGUAAAAAUAACUAACUUUUGGACUGUCUGGGGCAAAAAACGCUGCUCCAACAGACGGUCCAUAUGCAAAAAAAAUUGGACCGCGGCACUCGUGAUGUAAAAUGCUACACCUCGCGAUGCAAAUAUAUAUCACGAGAUGCAUCUGGCCCAAAACCAGCCGCCGCCAGCGAACGCCCAACCGCCACAUCAUUUCCGUUCCCGCCCGCCCGCCCACGACCUCCCGCCCGUCUGCCGCCGCCCCGUCGCCUCCAUACCCCGCCGCCGCCCCGCCGCCCGCAUCAGAUCUGGCGCCGCCNNNNNNNNNNNNNNNNNNNNNNNNNNNNNNNNNNNNNNNNNNNNNNNNNNNNNNNNNNNNNNNNNNNNNNNNNNNNNNNNNNNNNNNNNNNNNNNNNNNNNNNNNNNNNNNNNNNNNNNNNNNNNNNNNNNNNNNNNNNNNNNNNNNNNNNNNNNNNNNNNNNNNNNNNNNNNNNNNNNNNNNNNNNNNNNNNNNNNNNNNNNNNNNNNNNNNNNNNNNNNNNNNNNNNNNNNNNNNNNNNNNNNNNNNNNNNNNNNNNNNNNNNNNNNNNNNNNNNNNNNNNNNNNNNNNNNNNNNNNNNNNNNNNNNNNNNNNNNNNNNNNNNNNNNNNNNNNNNNNNNNNNNNNNNNNNNNNNNNNNNNNNNNNNNNNNNNNNNNNNNNNNNNNNNNNNNNNNNNNNNNNNNNNNNNNNNNNNNNNNNNNNNNNNNNNNNNNNNCCCGCCAUCGUCGCCCCGCAGCUCCGCCACCGGCCCGCACACCACUGCCCGCACGUCUUCCUCCUCCCCGCAAGCCACCACCGCCCCGCAGCAACGCCCGGCUCCGUCCGCCACUGCCCCGGCCGCACGCCGCUCCACCGCUCUCUGAUGGCGCCGAAGGGCAAGUCGGGCUUCUUCGCGUGAGGCAGAAGCCCUCCGGUAACUGGGGUGUGGAGUUCACCGACGCCGGAAGGCGUUGGUGGAUCGGCACGUACCCCUCCGCCCACGAGGCCGCGUGUGCCUACGACGUGGCGGUGUGACGUGCCGAGAGGCCUCGGUCGCAUCUCAACUUUCCAGAGAUCGAGAGUCGGGCGGUAGAGAUGCUUGUGCCCCAGGGCAUCAACAUGAAGGAGAUCACGACGAAGAAGAAGAAGACGAAGAAGCCGUCGGUUGCCAUCAGUUCUGGCGAGACCGAUGAGGAGGCGAUGGCGAGGUUUGCUCGGGAGCAUCCGGAGUACGUCCAGACCGAGAUGGAGCACUACUGGAAGCGUGAGGCGGAGCAAAAUAGAAGGAGCCGAAGAAGGAGGAUGAGGCCGGUCCCUCGACGGUGAUCCCCAUCGAGUCCUCUUCCGAGGAGGACUGGGCAGACUACUCGGAGGAGGAGGAGGAGGAGGAGGAGGGGUGUGACGACCCGACGAAGGAUGAGUUCUGGGAGCAGUUCCGUAGCUCCAUGAGGAGUAGUUUUAUCUAGUAGUUUGAAUAAGUAGUAGUUGAAGUUGAUGUAUGAAACUAUGUUGAAUUUGAUGUUUGAACUAUGUUGAAUGGACUAGUAGUAUGUCGUUUUACAUCUUCAUUUUGGACCAUCUAUUGAAGUUGCUCUUUUGGACCAUUAAUUUGUACCAUCUGUUGGAGUUGAGCUUUUUCGAAACUUCAAAACGCACUUGUUGGCGGUCCAAAUUUUACAUCUUCGAUUUCAGACCGUCAAAUUUUAGACCAUAUACAGGAGAUGCUCUAAGAGAGAGUAACAAUCUACUCCCUUCGUUCCAAAAUAGAUGACCAAAAUUUGUACUAAAGUUAGUACAAAAUUGGGUCAUCUAUUUUGAAACGGAGGGGUAAAAGAAACACCGGUAUUCUUUUUUACCCAUGACCGGCGACGAAGAGACAGCCAAGCCGUAAACGGGAGGCCGGCCCCAGGUAAGAAAGCGGUCCGUACGUAGUACGUGCACCACCGUUCCGUUCCGUUGCGUGCGCCCUCGUGGACGGGACCCACCAGAAUCCCGAGGCGGGAUACGCUGACGUCACCCCGCGCCAAGCAAAUCAACCCCUUUUCCUCCUUUUGCCUCCGCCGGCCGAUGCGUCCGUCUCCGACGAGUCGCCCGUUUGUUCCGAGUCGAGAGAAAAAAAAUGCCCAGCGUGGAAAACCAUGCGGUUCACACUCGUGCUUGCUAGGCCAACCAGUAAAUAAUUUGUCUCUCUCUGCUGCGAGCAAUUCGACGUGAUCCGGUCAAGAUCUCGUCCCACACGUCUAUCUUUCUUUCGGCCCCUGCUGGCUGCUGCUGUGCCGGUGCCGGUCGGUCGCUUCUUUUCUCCCUCAGCUAGCCUGACAAAUUGAGCGAGACCAGACGCUACGGGUGGGGAUCAUCGCCCCCUUUUUUCCCUUGCUUGCGGCCGGCCGGCGCCAAAUGGACGGCGGGCGCCGGUCCAGUUCCAGCUGAAGCACAACGAACGACGAACGAACGAGAGUGUCUUGGUGACUGGAAAAAACAUGCUCCAAAUGAAAUGGCUGUCAGAUGAACGAGAGAGACUCGGCAGAUCGCGUUAGUGCUGUGGAUGGCUUGUUCCUUGUUCAGUGGGCCUCUCUCUUUUGAUACAAAACGGAUGAUUGUUCUUCUUCCUUGAACGCGCUGUAAAAAGAUGUGCUUGGACUAUCAAGGAGUUGCAGGGUCAGACGCAUCCGUACACUAGGGUCCGUCAUCUCUAUUCUCUAAUGGACUGGACUAACUACCAAUCAGUCGGUAGUUAAUAACAGAUCCGGACGAUUCCUUGAGCAUCGAGAUUGCGUAUACGGGAACAACGAUAUAAAAAAGCAACAACAGCAGCAUGCGGCAUGCAAGGCGUUUUCUAAUUCAAUCCAAGUCAUGCAUGCAUGCAUGUAAAACAGAAAUGAUGACAUCAUCAAAGAUUCCAAUGAAUAUCAAAAUUCAAAAUGUUUUGUAGCCUAAACUGUGGGUCCGAUCAAAAAUUUGUUUUCACAAAAAAGAAUCGUCACGACGAUACCUUCGAAACAAGAUCCCAUAUUGAUAUGUUUCGACAACAUUUUUUUCGAGUAAAAAGUUACCACAUCGGGGAUAUGCAAGUUAUCACGUCUAUGCAACAUAAGUUACCACGAUGUUUACAUAUGCAAAUUUCGGGUAUACAAAUGAUUUCUUCCAACUUUCUCCACACAUGCAAAUGCAUUUAAAGUGCAGAAAAGCUAAUAUCAUCGUAGAUUCUCUUUAUUUUGACAUUUCAAAAUGUUUUGUAGCUCAAACGGUCUGUUCAAUUCAAGAUCGGUUUUCACUCAAAAAAACGCCAUGAUGAAACCUUCGAAACUAGAUCCCAUGUUGGUAUGUCCCGAUGACUUUUUCUUCUAGGUCAAAAGUUAUCAAGCCUAAGCUAAGUAAGGUAUCAGCUUUUUUGUACAUAUAUUACCAUGUUAUUUACAUAGAUGUUAUCGAACUAUGUUUUCAACAACUUUUUUCCCUGGGUCAAAAUUAUCGUGGUGUCUUUAUGCAAGUUAUCAGGUCCGAAAGCCUUUAUUACCAUGUUAUUUAUAGAUUAUGUUUUCGAUAACUUUUUUUACGAGUUAAAGUUAUCGUGAUGUCUGUACAUAAGUUAUCAAGUCCAGUGGCGUAUAUUAUCAUAUUAUUUACACCGAAGUUAUCGGUGAUAUGUUUUCAACAACUUUUUUCCAUGGGUCAGAGUUUACUUUGGUGUUUGUACCUAGGUUUCGAUGGGGGUAUAUUUCACCAACAACCCUCCCCUACCACCAUCGCCAAAGGUUACCAGGGCUGGGGUACAUUAGUUAUCAGGUCUGCGAUGUGUGAGCUACCCUCGGGGGAGGGGGGGUAUAUUUCANNNNNNNNNNNNNNNNNNNNNNNNNNNNNNNNNNNNNNNNNNNNNNNNNNNNNNNNNNNNNNNNNNNNNNNNNNNNNNNNNNNNNNNNNNNNNNNNNNNNNNNNNNNNNNNNNNNNNNNNNNNNNNNNNNNNNNNNNNNNNNNNNNNNNNNNNNNNNNNNNNNNNNNNNNNNNNNNNNNNNNNNNNNNNNNNNNNNNNNNNNNNNNNNNNNNNNNNNNNNNNNNNNNNNNNNNNNNNNNNNNNNNNNNNNNNNNNNNNNGUUAUCAGGUCUGCCAUGUGUGAGUUAUCGUGUUAUUAACAUCAAAUUGACCGUGGGUAUAUUUCAUCACUACCCUUCCCAAAGUUACCAGGACCGUGGCACAUAACUUAUCAGAUCUGCAAUGUGUGAGUUACCAUGUUAUUCACACAAAAGUUGUCGGGGAUAUUUCCUUAACCCUUCCCGCCUCAUGCCAAAAGUUAUCAAUACCGAGGUACAUAAGAUUUGUCAGGUCUGCGAUGUAUGAGUUACCAUGCUAUUCCCAUGAACUUACCAGGAGGAUAUUUCAUCAACACCCCCCUCCCCCAGGGAGCCCAAACCAGAGGUACAUAAGUUAUCAGGUCUACUAUGUUUCAUGGAUCAAAGUGUGUGUGGAUACAACGUAAUUACAACAAAGAGAAAAUCGGGUCACAAAAAACACAAAAAACUGCUUUUGUUUUGCUGUCAUGAUUUUUAGAAGGUUGAUGUAACUAAUGAUCAUUUAUUGGACAACAAAUUAGGAGCAGAUGAGUUGGUUGUCAUAAGCACCCAAGAGCCUAGCAACCUAGGUUCGAUCCUUGGGUGACACACUUAAUUUUUGUUCUUUCUUUUCACAGGCUCGUAGUAAAAAGAGCACAACUUGCAUAUGGAAACUUCACCGUACGAAGGAAAGAAAUAUGGUCAACCCCCUAUUCAUCACCAUUAAUAAAAGCGGUAACCCCACAAAAAUCAUGGUCCAAUUAAUGACGAAAGGAAAGAAAUCAGGUCGAUGCCCAUGUUCCCACAUGCGAUUGCUAUUAAAAAGUCGAUCCCAUUAAAAUCACGAUCCAAUUAAAACACUAACCGUCCAUGCAAUUAAUCCUACGGAUAACAGCCGCGCGAUCGCGAUCUGACGGCUUUCGGGGCGUUCGGAUCUGUUGCUAAAUUCCUGCCGACAAGAAAUUAGCUUUUCCCUUCUCUAAUCUAAUACUCCCUCUGCAGUCCGCACUCUGUGCUUAUCUUGGGAGAUCUCCAGUGGCGUAGCUGUAGGGUGGCCAGGGUGGUCCAUGGACCACCCUGGAAUUUGGCCCAUUAGUUUAGUACUUCUCUGGAAAAAAAGAAACAUACCCAGGCCCAAAUCAGGUCUUAGCCCAUGUACGAGUGUAUGUACGUUGAUCGUUCCCAACACCCCGUCGUCUCCUUUUCCUCUGGUGAUCUGGGCUCUAGAAGUCUGAAAGACUGAAACCUAGGUUCGAUACUUGGGUGACACACUUAAUUUUUGUUCUUUCUUUUCACAGCGCUCGCAGUAAAAAGAGCACAACUUGCAUAUGGAAACUUCACCGUAUGAAGGAAAGAAAUAUGGUCAACCCCCUAUUCAUCACCAUUAAUAAAAGCGGUAACCCCACAAAAAUCAUGGUCCAAUUAAUGACGAAAGGAAAGAAAUCAGGUCGAUGCCCAUGUUCCCACAUGCGAUUGCUAUUAAAAAGGUCGAUCCCAUUAAAAUCACGAUCCAAUUAAAACACUAACCGUCCAUGCAAUUAAUCCUAUGGAUAACAGCCGCGCGAUCGUGAUCUGACGGCUUUCGGGGCGUUCGGAUCUGUUGCUAAAUUCCUGCCGACAGGAAAUUAGCUUUUCCCUUCUCUAAUCUAAUACUCCCUCUGCAGUCCGCACUCUCUGCUUAUCUUGGGAGAUCUCCAGUGGCGUAGCUGUAGGGUGGCCAGGGUGGUCCAUGGACCACCCUGGAAUUUGGCCCAUUAGUUUAGUACUUCUCUGGAAAAAAAAGGAAACAUACCCAGACCCAAAUCAGGUCUUAGCCCAUGUACGCGUGUAUGUACGUUGAUCGUUCCCCACACCCCGUCGUCUCCUUUUCCUCUGGUUAUCUGGGCUCUAGAAGUCUGAAAGACUGAAACCUAGGUUCGAUCCUUGGGUGACACACUUAAUUUUUGUUCUUUCUUUUCACAGCGCUCGCAGUAAAAAGAGCACAACUUGCAUAUAGAAACUUCACCGUACGAAGGAAAGAAAUAUGGUCAACCCCCUAUUCAUCACCAUUAAUAAAAGCGGUAACCCCACAAAAAUCAUGGUCCAAUUAAUGACGAAAGGAAAGAAAUCAGGUCCAUGCCCAUGUUCCCACAUGCGAUUGCUAUUAAAAAGGUCGAUCCCAUUAAAAUCACGAUCCAAUUAAAACACUAACCGUCCAUGCAAUUAAUCCUACGGAUAACAGCCGCGCGAUCGCGAUCUGACGGCUUUCGGGGCGUUCGGAUCUGUUGCUAAAUUCCUGCCGACAGGAAAUUAGCUUUUCCCUUCUCUAAUCUAAUACUCCCUCUGCAGUCCGCACUCUCUGCUUAUCUUGGGAGAUCUCCAGUGGCGUAGCUGUAGGGUGGCCAGGGUGGUCCAUGGACCACCCUGGAAUUUGGCCCAUUAGUUUAGUACUUCUCUGGAAAAAAAAAACAUACCCAGGCCCAAAUCAGGUCUUAGCCCAUGUACGCGUGUAUGUACGUUGAUCGUUCCCAACACCCCGUCAUCUCCUUUUCCUCUGGUGAUCUGGGCUCUAGAAGUCUAAAAGACUGAAACCUAGGUUCGAUCCUUGGGUGACACACUUAAUUUUUGUUCUUUCUUUUCACAGCGCUCGCAGUAAAAAGAGCACAACUUGCAUAUGGAAACUUCACCGUACGAAGGAAAGAAAUAUGGUCAACCCCCUAUUCAUCACCAUUAAUAAAAGCGGUAACCCCACAAAAAUCAUGGUCCAAUUAAUGACGAAAGGAAAGAAAUCGGGUCGAUGCCCAUGUUCCCACAUGCGAUUGCUAUUAAAAAGGUCGAUCCCAUUAAAAUCACGAUCCAAUUAAGACACUAACCGUCCAUGCAAUUAAUCCUACGGAUAACAGCCGCGCGAUCGCGAUCUGACGGCUUUCGGGGCGUUCGGAUCUGUUGCUAAAUUCCUGCCGACAGGAAAUUAGCUUUUCCCUUCUCUAAUCUAAUACUCCCUCUGCAGUCCGCACUCUCUGCUUAUCUUGGGAGAUCUCCAGUGGCGUAGCUGUAGGGUGGCCAAGGUGGUCCAUGGACCACCCUGGAAUUUGGCCCAUUAGUUUAGUACUUCUCUGGAAAAAAAGGAAACAUACCCAGACCCAAAUCAGGUCUUAGCCCAUGUACGCGCGUAUGUACGUUGAUCGUUCCCCACACCCCGUCGUCUCCUUUUCCUCUGAUUAUCUGGGCUCUAGAAGUCUGAAAGACUGAAACCUAGGUUCGAUCCUUGGGUGACACACUUAAUUUUUGUUCUUUCUUUUCACAGCGCUCGCAGUAAAAAGAGCACAACUUGCAUAUGGAAACUUCACCGUACGAAGGAAAGAAAUAUGGUCAACCCCCUAUUCAUCACCAUUAAUAAAUGCGGUAACCCCACAAAAAUCAUGGUCCAAUUAAUGACGAAAGGAAAGAAAUCAGGUCGAUGCCCAUGUUCCCACAUGCGAUUGAUAUUAAAAAGGUCGAUCCCAUUAAAAUCACGAUCCAAUUAAAACACUAACCGUCCAUGCAAUUAAUCCUACGGAUAACAGCCGCGCGAUCGCGAUCUGACGGCUUUCGGGGCGUUCGGAUCUGUUGCUAAAUUCCCGCCGACAGGAAAUCAGCUUUUCCCUUCUCUAAUCUAAUACUCCCUCUGCAGCCCGCACUCUCUGCUUAUCUUGGGAGAUCUCCAGUGGCGUAGUUGUAGGGUGGCCAGGGUGGUCCAUGGACCACCCUGGAAUUUGGCCCAUUAGUUUAGUACUUCUCUGAAAAAAAAGGAAACAUACCCAGUCCCAAAUCAGGUCUUAGCCCAUGUACGCGUGUAUGUACGUUGAUCGUUCCCAACACCCCGUCGUCUCCUUUUCCUCUGGUGAUCUGGGCUCUAGAAGUCUGAAAGACUGAAACCUAGGUUCGAUCCUUGGGUGACACACUUAAUUUUUGUUCUUUCUUUUCACAGCGCUCGCAGUAAAAAGAGCACAACUUGCAUAUGGAAACUUCACCAUACGAAGGAAAGAAAUAUGGUCAACCCCCUAUUCAUCACCAUUAAUAAAAGCGGUAACCCCACAAAAAUCAUGGUCCAAUUAAUGACGAAAGGAAAGAAAUCAGGUCGAUGCCCAUGUUCCCACAUGUGAUUGCUAUUAAAAAGGUCGAUCCCAUUAAAAUCACGAUCCAAUUAAAACACUAACCGUCCAUGCAAUUAAUCCUACGGAUAACAGCCGCGCGAUCGCGAUCUGACGGCUUUCGGGGCGUUCGGAUCUGUUGCUAAAUUCCUGCCGACAGGAAAUUAGCUUUUCCCUUCUCUAAUCUAAUACUCCCUCUGCAGUCCGCACUCUCUGCUUAUCUUGGGAGAUCUCCAGUGGCGUAGCUGUAGGGUGGCCAGGGUGGUCCACAGGGUGGUCCAUGGACCACCCUGAAAUUUGGCCCAUUAGUUUAGUACUUCUCUGGAAAAAAAAGGAAACAUACCUAGACCCAAAUCAGGUCUUAGCCCAUGUACGCGCGUAUGUACGUUGAUCGUUCCCCACACCCCGUCGUCUCCUUUUCCUCUGGUUAUCUGGGCUCUAGAAGUCUGAAAGACUGAAACCUAGGUUCGAUCCUUGGGUGACACACUUAAUUUUUGUUCUUUCUUUUCACAGCGCUCGCAGUAAAAAGAGCACAACUUGCAUAUGGAAACUUCACCGUACGAAGGAAAGAAAUAUGGUCAACCCCCUAUUCAUCACAAUUAAUAAAAGCGGUAACCCCACAAAAAUCAUGGUCCAAUUAAUGACGAAAGGAAAGAAAUCGGGUCGAUGCCCAUGUUCCCACAUGCGAUUGCUAUUAAAAAGGUCGAUCCCAUUAAAAUCACGAUCCAAUUAAAACACUAACCGUCCAUGCAAUUAAUCCUAUGGAUAACAGCCGCGCGAUCGCGAUCUGACGGCUUUCGGGGCGUUCGGAUCUGUUGCUAAAUUCCUGCCGACAGGAAAUUAGCUUUUCCCUUCUCUAAUCUAAUACUCCCUCUGCAGUCCGCACUCUCUGCUUAUCUUGGGAGAUCUCCAGUGGCGUAGCUGUAGGGUGGCCAAGGUGGUCCAUGGACCACCCUGGAAUUUGGCCCAUUAGUUUAGUACUUCUCUGGAAAAAAAAGGAAACAUACCCAGGCCCAAAUCAGGUCUUAGCCCAUGUACGCGUGUAUGUACGUUGAUCGUUCCCAACACCCCGUCGUCUCCUUUUCCUCUGGUGAUCUGGGCUCUAGAAGUCUGAAAGACUGAAACCUAGCGCCAUCGCCCAGCGCAAGGCCGGCACUCCGGCAGGGCACAGGCUGACGGCGACGGACAGGCGGCCAGCGAAGGACGCGCGUCCCAGCGGCCGAUGAAGGAAGCGCGCACGCACACAUAGGUACAGCCCCGUGCAGUACGCACUAGUUGUUUUCUUUUCUACUUCAAUUCAGAGUAAGAUUUUUGUUCUGCUCUAAUUCAAAGCACAAUUUCCUUUUGCUAUGAAGAUUCGAACGAUUUGUUGAGAGUGCAAGCUUUAAAGUUUUUUGUAAUUGAUAAUUUGUCAAUUGAACCGAUUGAAUCAUUAGUGCUUUGUUCCAACUGAGUUAAUGUAUUAACUUUUUUGUACAACCGUUGCAAAAAUGAAGAGGACAGGAGACAUUGCAUCCCUUUUUUUUUAUAUGGAUCCGACAAAUAAGGUGGUUUAUAUUUUAAGCGAAUGUAAGGCUUGAACAUGAAUUUUAAUAUGCUUUGAUAGACCUUAUUGAUAUGUGCUUUGGAUAUAUUCUUUGUGUAUAUGUUAGAUUUGAUAAAUUUGUGGUGUAAUUUUUCUGGUGCCAAUUGAACCACCCUAACAUAAAAUCCUAGCUACGCCACUGGAGAUCUCCCAAACCAAGCAAAGCAAAGGAAGCAGAUGGAAGAUACGCACGCACCAGCCUCGAACGGCGGAGCGCAUUGAAACCCAGCCAUGCCGAUCGAUCGAUCGAUCAACGCGUAGCCGGCAGCUAUCGCGAUCCGAUGGAUGGAUGGAUCGCUGCGCCUAAAAGAAUCGCUAUCUUAGGCCCCGUUUGGAAUGUUGUUUUUCUGCCACUCCUGUAACAUUUUACACCUGUAUUAUACUAGUCUCAAACCAAAUACAUGCCACAGGGUUGUAUUUCCAUUCCGCUUCUAGCCUCCGCUUGGAAUGUUGUUUUUCUGCCACCCCUGUAAGUUGGCUCCAGUUUCAAUUCGGUUGUAAAAUAUACAUGGCGCCCAAGUUGUAGCACUAUAUAUAUGUUCAAAUAUGCAUGGCACCCAAAUGUAUAACUUUUCAACAGCACAGACUUUCUAAUACACACGUACAGAAUUUUCAAUAGCACAGACUGCACUUCCACACAAAUUGCACAUGUAUAAAAUGAGCUAAAUUUUUUAUUUAUAUAACAGUACAACCACAUCAAAAAAUGGAUAAUAUUUUUGCAAUCAUCCAUUUGAACAUAGUUCCGAUAACUCAUAGUGCUCAAAGUCAGUAGUUUAAAUUACAAAUUUAUCGAGGCAUACUUGUCUCGUCUCGUCCGCAUGCUACAUAACCAAAUUUAUUGAGGCAAUUGUUCAACCAUUGUGCGCUUAGACAUAAAGUAUUUCAGGAAUAUUAUUGAUUGCUUCAUGGACUCGGGUAAUCAUAGAAUCAUGUGAAAGGACAUCCUGAAAAGAAAAAAAUUGAAAAACAUUAGCUAUGUAAGAACACUUUGUGCUCUAUGAAGGAUACCAGCCACACAUGUCAAGAACAACCAUGUAUGUCAAAAAGAUUAGCACAAAAUCCUGAAUUACCAAGGGGAGCCAGAUGGUACAAGGUAGCCAUAGCAUGUCACUAAAUUUAAAGAAACCAUAUUAUUUUUCAAAAAACACCGAUAUGAAGAAACAACAUGGCAGCAAUAUAAACAACAUCUUAAGUAAGAAAAGAUGUUCUAGACAGCAGCAGGUCUAUAUGAUUUUGAAUGCAAAAAUGAUAACUCCAAGAAUUGCAAGUUCCCAAAACAGGUCUAUUGUGGAUAAUAACAAACAUGUCCAGAAUAUUAUGUUACUCCCUCCCACUAGCGGAGCCUCGUUGAGGCCAAAGGGACUCCAGGAGCAAGCAAGGUAUGCUUCACCUAAUGGAAAUAAAAGGAGCACAAACAAUACCUUUGAUCAGAGCACCAGAUUGAUUGAAGGAAUAUCGCCAGAUGAAAACCGAGCUGCAAAGGAAUACUCGCUCAACUAAGCCUUACAAACUUAUCUUUAGUGGGGAGAAGAAAUGCAGAAAACCAACAUAAUGGUACUUACAAGGAGGAGGCUGAGGACUAAUCUUGUCGACUUCCUUCUUUAGCCACAUACCCCGCAAUCUUGAGUUGUAACCCAGGAAAAUCUCACGAUUUGCUGCAUCCUUGAAAACAUCAGAGGCAAAGAUUUUGACCUCGUCGGGAACAUCAUCCAUGUCAUUCAAGACCUGCAAGCAUUCUGUAAUUGAGGGUUGUUUUCCUUGCUGUGACACUUUUUCCUUCUUGGAAGCUUGAUCUUUCUUGAAAUUCACAUAAGCCAUCAUGGAAUCUUCAAGCCGCUGUACAGAUGUGGCACCUUUUUGUUUCUUAGUUUUUUUCCCUUUUGCACUUGAUUCACUUAUUUGUGGUUGAUCGCCAUCAGCAUCUUCACUGCCUAAUUCUUCCUCGUCAUUGACAGUGUUCUCUCUUUCAUCCACAUCAUCUAAUGUAGGAGUAUCAUUGAUGUCAAUUAUUGAAGAAGUCCUUACGUUGUCAUCUCUUCCAUGUCUUGUAUUUUUCUUGCUAGUGCUUGCAACCAUCUUAUCCUUCGCUCCAAAGUUGCUACCUGUUUUUGUGCCAAUCGGAGGCUUCCUUGAUGUGAGGCAGUGUCUUCCUUGCGCAAUGUGUCCUUCAUAGAGCACACCCAAUGCCUCGUACAAUGGAAAGCUCUUUCCUUCAUACAUUUUGAGCUUUGGGUCCUCCUACAUAAUUAAUAGAAAGGUGUGAGCAGAUCAUGCAUAGGCAUGAAAAGUUCAUGCACAUAUAAGGAAAUCAAAAGUUAGAAGGAAUAAAAACUUACUGCAAUGAUCUCUUCCCAUUUUUCAGGCGUGGUGUUGAUCACACAUGCAAUAUCAUUCCAUGAUAUUCCAGAGCGGUUGACUAUCAACUUGAUAUUUUUGUAGUGCUUUUUCAACUGAGCUUCCUUAUCUUGAACCUGAUCCUUGGUAAACCUUGCCUCUGGAUAUAAAUUGUUCAGUUCCUUGACAACUUGAUUCCAUCCUUCGGUAGUCCACCCAUUUUGACCACGGUAAUGAGAUAGAUUGUACUCUGUAAGUACCUCCACGAGACCUUUCUCAUACCUUGCUGUCCACUUAGCCCUAUUUUGCGUCAUAUUGAACCUAUGACAAUGUAACUUUAGCAAUAAAUCAAUACAAGAAUCUGAUCACAUUAAGCAACAUAAGAAUAUGAAAAUCCAACAUCACAUUAAGAAAUAUAAGAAUCUGAAAAUGCAAAAUCACAUCAAGUAAUAUGAAAUGAAACAUUAACAUAACUCAAAUGUUGCUAAUAUAUAGGAUCGAUCCUAAUAACAUAACUCAAAUGUCAUCCUUACAUAACUCAAAUGAAACAUUAACAUAACUCAAAUGUCAUCUUUAUAUCUCAAAUUCCACAUCAUUACAAUAAAUUACUUUGACAGAAUAAAAACUUAAAUUAUUAGCUAGUAGAUCUCCGUGACGAUCUUUCACUUCGAAUUCUUUGAUAGUCCGCCCACAUCCUGUUGGCAAUUUCAUCUCUCAUAGAAUUACCAAGGUCCCUUUGAUUGCUUGAGGAUGUAGGAACAUGUCGAGGUCUGUCAUCUCCAUCAGGAAGAGUGACAAAUAGAAGAGGGUCAAUUUGCAUUUGUUGCGUAUCUAGCCAUUGUUCAUCACCUCUGUGACUCCGGAUUAUAUUGUGAAAUACAGCUGCCGCCAUAGGAAUUUUGACUUGAGUGUCAAUUGGGUAAUGUGUGCCAACUUUUAAAAUAGGAAAUCGCAUUUUCCAUACACCAAUUGUACGCUCUAUAUGGUUCCGUAGACGGGCAUGCCUUAGAUUGAAGAGUUCUUUGGGGUUCUUUGGACGAGGGCCACCUCUACCGAAAUCUUUUAGAUGGUAACGAACUCCACGGUACAGAGCUAGAAACUGUGGUGUGUUUGCAUAGCCUCCGUCAACCAAAUAAUACUUGCCCGGAGGUACAUGGAAGCCUGAUUGAAUAGCAGAUUUCAAUACUCCAGCAUCUGAGGCAGACCCCUCCCAACCAGCUGACACAUAAACAAAGUUGAGAUCGAAGUCGCAGGCGACCAUCACAUUUUGGGAGAUGGUCCCCUUUCUAUUCCUGUAUGGAGCAGCCUCGUUGGAUGUAAUGGUCAUGGGAACAUGAGUCCCAUCUAUUGCCCCUAGGCAGUUCUGCAUUAAACAAGCUAUGGUUACUAUAUGUGUUAUACUAAGGGAGG
rnacentral:lncRNA from 1 species